rnacentral:lncRNA from 1 species
UAGGGCCCACCUGUGAGUGUCUGAUUAAGGUUUUAAUAUAACUUUAUUUUUAUUUGACUAACGCUAAUUAGCCUGGGGGCUGGCCCCACUUGCCAGUGACUCACGGGAGUCAGAUCCACCGGAGGUGAGGUGGAUCUCACCGGCGAUGAGCCUCUGGCAACCACAGAGACGGCGGAGGGCUUUGGGUUUCCUACUCUGGUGACCAAACGAGCGGCGGAAGACACCAGACGAUCGGCCACUCUGUCGCGGUUCCAUUUUUGCAGCUUACACGGGCUGAAAUGGCCGGAGUUGAUGCCGGCGUUGAGCUCGACGGCUGCCGGAGCUCGGGCUAGGUGCGGGUCAUCGAAACAAAGGCCAAAACGCGUGGGGCUUAGCUCCUAUAGCAUCUACUCGUCGAGUUGAAGCUAAUGGGAGCUUCAGAUCGACCGGCCGAUCACCGGAGGGUUACCGGCGACGAGCUACCGCGGCGGUCCUCAUCGGGCUCCGGUGAAAUCAGGCGCCAGAGGAAGCAAUCAAAGGGGAAAACGAGGGGGAAAGGACCCUAGGCUCACUGGGAGUGCAGCGGCGUCGAAAAUGGGCUUGGGGAUGGCCUGAGGAGGGAGAACGACGGCGAUGAGCGUCGGUGAUCUGAGGUAGAAGAUGACGGGCAUCCGACGAUGUAGGGCUCGGGGGCUUGCAUGGCUCGAUGAGAAGCUUCAGGGGAUCGAGGCGGACCUUCUGUGCGGCUCAGACAAGAGGGAGACGGGCUAGAGCGACGGCCAGCUCGAGCCCCGAAGGGUCUCAUGAGCUGUGGGAGGAUGUGGACCAGCCCUUAGUGGGCUGGCCGAAGCCUCCACUAAAGCCCAAGGCGAACUCGAGGUGGGAAGGAAAGAACCCAAAGGUGGAAAAGGUGGAAAUGGUUUCCAAGUGGAGAGGAGGAAUCCUAAUCCUUGUAGGAUUGGAGUAGGACUCCUCCACCUCCAAUUUCGGCCAAACCUUGAGGGUUUAAGGCUGCCUCCUCCCCUCCCUCCCUCCUAUAUAUACUAGAGGUUUUAGAGGUGAGCGCUAACCCUAAUUGCCACGUGCUCCCUCUACUUCAUUUAGAUCGGUUUCUCCUCUAGUCUAGUUCGGCGGUGCUUAGGCGAAGCCCAGCUGGGUUAGUUCACCACCACCACCACCACCAUGUCGCCGUGCCGGAGAACUGAUCUACCUCUCCGCCCCUCUUGUUCGAUCAAGAAGGUGGGGAUCGUCAUCGAGAUGUACGUCUGCUGAACACGGAGAUGUCGUCCGUUCGGCACUAGAUCAGGAUGGAUCGUGAUGGGAUCGCGAGACGGAUCGUGAUGAGAUCGUGGGACAGGCUAUGAUUUGAAUCGCGAAGACGUUCAACUACAUCAACCGCGUUAUAUACGCUUCCUCUUAGCGAUCUACAAGGGUAUGUAGAUUCACUCUCCCCUCUCGUAGAUGAUCAUCACCAUGGAUAGGUAUUGCGUGUGCGUAGGAAAUUUUUUGUUUCACAUGCAACGUUCCCCAACAGUGGCAUCAUGAGCUAGGUUCAUGCGUAGAUAAUAUCUCAAGUUGAACACAAAAGAGUUUGUGGGCAUUGAUGUUCAAUUUUCUGCCCUCCUUAGUCUUUUCUUGAUUCGGUGGUAUUGUUGGAUUGAAGCGGCCCGGACCAACUUUACUCGUACGCUUACGAGAGACCGGUUUCAUCGACUAACAUGCAACUUGUUGCAUAAAGAUGACUGGUGGGUGCCUAUUUCUUCAACUUUAGUUGAAUCGUAUUUGACCGAGGUGGUCCUUGGAGAAGGUUAAAUAGCAAUUUCCAUAUCACCGUUGUGGUUGUGCGUAAGUAAGAUGCGAUCAUACUAGAUACCCAUAGCAGCCACGUAAAACAUGCAGCUACAAAUUAGAGGACGUCUAACUUGUUUUUGCAGGGUAUGCAUGUGAUGUGAUAUGGACAAAGACAUGAUAUGAUAUAUUGGAUGUAUGAGAUGAUCAUGUUGUAAUAGUUAAAUAUCGACUUGCACGUCGAUGCUAUGGCAACCGGCAGGAGCCAUAGGGUUGUCUUUAAACUAACGUUUGUGCUUGCACAUGCUUUUACUAUAUCGCUAGGUUGUAGAUUUAGUAGUAAUAGCAUAGAUAGCGCGACAACCUCGAUGGCGGCACGAUGAUGGAGAUCAUGGUGCAGCGCCGGUGACGAUGGAGAUCAUGUCGGUGCUUUGGUGAAGGAGAUCAAGAAGCACAAGUUCAUGGUCAUAUCAUGACACUUAUGAUUUGCAUGUGAUGUUAAUCCUUUUAUGCACCUUCUUUUGCAUAGAACGACGGUAGCAUUAUAAGGUGAUCCCUCACUAAAAUUUCAAGAUAAAAUUGUGUUCUCCCCGACUAUGCACCGUUGUGACAUUCCAGCGUUUCGAGACACCAUAUGAUGAUCGGGUGUGAUAGACUCAACGUGCACAUACAACGGGUGCAAAAUAGUUGCACACGCGGAACGCUCGGGUUAAACUUGAUGAGCCUAGCAUGUACAGACAUGGCCUCGGAACACAAGAGACCGAAAGGUCGAUCAUGAAUCAUAUACUUGAUAUGAUCAACAUGGAGAUGUUUAGCAUUGAAGCUAAUCUCAACUCACCUGAUGAUCGGACUUGAGUUAGUGGAUUGGAUCAUGCGCCACUCGAAUGACUAGAGGGCUGACUAUUUGAGUGGGAGUUCUUAAGUAAUAUGAUCAAUUGAACUCAUUGUCAUGAACAUAGUCAAAAGGUCUUUGCAAAUUAUGUUCUAGCUUGCGCUCUAGGUCUACUGUUUUAGAUAUGUUCCUAGAGAAAAUUUAGUUGACAGUUGAUAGUAGCAAUUAUGCGGACUGGGUCCGUAAACUAAGGAUUGUCCUCAUUGCUGCACAGAAGGCUUAUGUCCUUAAUGCACCGCUCGGUGUGCUGAACCUCGAGCGUCGUCUGUGGAUGUUGUGAACAUCUAACAUCCAUGUUUUUUAUAACUACGUUAUAGUUCAGUGUGUAAUGCUUAACGACUUAGAAUUGAGGUGCCGAAGGUGUUUUGAACGUCACGGAACAUAUGAGAUGUUCCAAGAGAUGAAAUUGGGAUUUCAUGCUCGUGCCCUUGUUGAGAGGUAUGAGACCCCCGACAAGAUUCUUUGUCUACAAAGUAAGGGAGAAAAGCUCAAUCGUUGAGCAUGUGCUCAGAUUGUCUGAGUGCUACGAUCGCUUCAAUCGAAUGGGAGUUGAUCUUCUAGAUGAGAUAGUGAUGGUUCUCCAAAGUCACUGCCACCAAGCUACUAGAGCUUCGUGAUGAACUAUAACAUAUCAAGGAUAGAUAUGAUGAUCCUUGAGCUAUUCGCAAUGUUUGACACUGCGAAAGUAGAAAUCAAGUAAGAGCAUCAAUGGUUGAUGGUUAGUAAAACCACUAGUUUCAAGAAGGGCAAGGGCAAGAAGGGAUACUUCAUGAAACGGCAAACCAGUUGCUGCUCUAGUGAAGAAACCCAAGGUUGAACCCAAACCCGAGACUAAGUGCUUCUAUUAUGAGGGGAGCGGUCACUAAGGCGGAACUACCCUAGAUCCUUGGUAGAUGAGAAGGCUGGCAAAGUCGGCAAAAGUAUAUUCGAUAUAUGUGAUAUUGAUGUGUACCUUAUUAGUGCUCCUAGUAGCGUCGGGGUAUUAGAUACCGGUUCGGUUGCUAAGUGUUAGUAACUCUAAAUAAAAGCUACGAAAUAAACGGAGACCAGCUAAAAGUGAGGUGAUGAUGUGUGGUUGAUGUGAUCAAACCUCACACACUCCCUCUACCAUCAGGAUUAGUGUUGAACCUAAAUAAAUGUUAUUUGGUGGAGCAUGAACAUGAUUAGAUCAUGUUUAUUGCAAUACCAUUAUUCAUUUAAAGAGAAUAAUGGUUAUUCUAUUUGCUUGAAUAAAUACCUUCAAUGGUUUAUUGAAUCUCGAUCGUAGUGAUACACAUGUUCAUAAUAUUUGAUGCCAAAAGAUACAAAGUAGUAAUGAUAGUACCACUUACUUGUGGCACUUCCGCUUGAGUCAUAUUGGUGUAAAACACAUGAAGAAGCUCCAUACUGAUGGACCUUUGGACUCACUCAUUUUUUAAUUGUUUGAGACAUGCGAACCAUGCCUAUUGGUGUGAACGCAUGAAGAAACUCCAUGCAGAUGGAUCGUUUGAACUCACUUGAUUUUGACUCACUUGAGACAUGCAAAUCACGGGCAAGAUGACUCGAAGCCUCGUUUUCCAGUGAGAUGGAACAAGAGAGUAACUUCUGGGAAGUAAUACAUUAUGAUGUAUAAAGUCCAAUGAGUGCUGAGGCACGCAGUGGAUAUCAUUGUCUUCUUACCUCUCCGCCCCUCUUGCUGGAUCAAGAAGGUGGGGAUCGUCAUCAAUCUGUACGUGUGUUGAACCCGGAGGUGCCGUCCGUUCGGCACUAGAUCGGGAUGGGAUCGCGGGACGGAUCGUGAUGAGAUCACGGGACGGGCUGCGAUUUGAUUCGCGAAGAUGUUCCACUACAUCUACCGUGUUAUAUACGUUUCUGCUUAGCGAUCUACAAGGGCAUGUAGAUUUACUCUCCCCUCUUGUAGAAGAUCAUCACCAUGUAUAGGUAUUGCGUGUGCGUAGGAAAAAAUUUGUUUCCCAUGCAAUGUUCCCCAACACGGGCCUGGUAGGCCGGUCUAGAGGCUGACCAUUGGAAUCGCCGGCCCCACUGGCAGGCCCUUCUUCAACCUCGCACGGCUCCCACGCGGCUGGAUAGAGGGGAGAGGCAAACACGUCGGCGGCUCUUCCCGGCGGCUCAAACCGCCCCCGGCAGGGCCCCGGCCACCGGAAUGCUCGGCGAAGAACCCCACAUCGAACCAGGGGGUCAGCCCCGGUAGAGGAGCGCCAAGGAGAGGGGGGCCCUGGCCGCAGCAGAGACCGACGACGGAGGCCCUAGGAGUGGUGCUCCGACAACUUGGAGAGGGAGGAGAGGUGAGGGAGCAGGCGGCGGAGGUGCGGGGGAAGGGACGCCCUGCAUGCCCGCAUUUGGAGCGAGGGUCGCGGCAAGAUUUGACCAUUGAAGGUAGACGGGAAGCUCCUGGCUGACUUGGGCUGGUCUGGCAGAUUCAAGGAAGAGAGUGGAGUAGGAGGAAGACAGUAGGGUCUCGAGGGAGGCCCUAAAUGGAGGGGGUGCACAGGAGAGACUCGGGAGCGCCUCGGGUGCUCUGAGCACGGCAAGAGCACACGUGCUAGAAGGGGCUUGGCGUCUUCUAGGUGUCGGGGAGGGCUUGGACGGUCAAAGGGGAGUGCCCUGAUGCUCUGGGAUAAACUGCCAUGGCGAAACAUGGCCUGCACUGUGAAGACAAGUUGCAGAGCACCAUUAGUGCAUGCAGGAGGUGGUCACUACGCCACUGCAUGUCCACGGCCACCCCAUGGCCAGACCAAGGUGUCAAACAUGCAAGUCAUGCAUGGGAGAGAGCACUGGUGAAGUUUGAAAUUGAAUGGACCAGAUUAGGCACGGUUUCAGCUCUGUUUAAGUUUGCAACAACAAACUUGGGGUAGCAAAAAGUGUCUGCACUGAGAGGAAAUUGAGAUGAAACCUUGUCUAGCAGCCUUGUUUAUGGAAGGACUACAAUACUACCAAAUUUUAGCUUAGGGGAAUGAGAUUAGCUAGCAGUUGUAGUUCAAGGCUACAUUUCAGCCAGAAAUCAAGUUGCUGAUGUGCUGCUCAUAUUUCCCACAUGAUCAUGCCAUAUUUUUGUUUGGAAUGAUGCAUUAGCAUGCUAGAGGCUCUCCAGAAAGAGGUGGUGGCAUUGACAUGAGCAGAGGUCUAGCAAGAAGGGUAAAACUAGUGUUGCCAAGGUAAAAAUGAGAGGUAGAAACAUGGAGUCACCCUCCAGUAGCUGUCCAGAGGCCAUCGCAAGGUUACUGGAGCCAAAAGGGGACUAGGUAAAGCGGUGGUAAAAAUUUAAGCUAAAGGAAAUAGUGGAAGGGGCCAAAGGAGCAACAUUUGUAAAUGGAUAGAAGGUGUUUGACGGAUGUUAGGGAUACCAGAUGGAUUCCAAUCGAUUUGAAACUUAACAGGAUCAUAUAAUAGAUGAAAAUAACCUUGGACACCAAAUUUGGGAUUUGGUGGAGAAAUUUUCCAAUGUAGACUUGAAAACCCCAUGAAAUGGGUAGAAAUGGCUUUCUGCAUAUAAAAUCAUGCAAAUCAGUUCCCACAAAUCCACAACUUGAUGUGGGUGCAAUAUUUGAGCAUUAAAGCAUGCCCAAAAAGUUUGGGAUUAAUUGGAGAAUCUUUAUAAUGUAAAGUUUCUCAAAGUUAGAAAUCAACAAAGAAGGUUUUGAGGGGUUUGGGACAAGUUCUUAUAUUCACCUUGAUGCACCACUUGGUGUGGAUGCAUUAUUAGAGUAUCAGAACAUGUGCACCAAAUUUGAGCACAAUUGGAGACACUUGACAAUGUAGAGUUGCUCAAACUUGGAUCUGGACAAAUAUGGUUUUGGAAUAAUUAGGUGAAUCAAAUCAAGAUAGAUUGAGAUGAAACUUGACAAGAUAAUCACAUAUAUCAUGUGUGAUAUGAUAGAAUUUUAUUGGGAUUUAUUGAUAAUAUUUCUUAUAGAAAUAUUUCAAAAGCUUGAAAUAGGCAGGAAGGGUUUUGAAGGGUUUUGCUUAAUAUUUUGGACAUGACCAUGUGUUCAAACUCCCACAUAUGGAAUAUAUAUGUCCACUGAGUUUCUCUAAAUUUUCUCAAAUAUUUUGAAAUCAAUAAAAAUAACAUUCCUUCAUAAGGGACCAUUUCUGGCCUGAGAGAUAGGUAUUUAAAUAAAAUAGUAAAAUAACCUUUAAAAUAAUAAUAUCCCCCCCCCCCCCAUUUGGGAAGAAAAUUUGAUAAUGAGAUUUAAAUAAAAAUAUUUGGUGCAAAAUAACUUCCCUAAUUUGAGGGCUUGUAGUACGAAUCCCAACUCAAGGGUUUUUGAAAGCUUAAAUCAAGGAAAUGCUUCCUGGUGAAAAUAAUCUUUGGUAAAAUAGUUUCUGGUCCUAUACACAUGGCAUGAUCAUUAUGCAAGGUUUUGGGUCAAGGAGGUGAGUCUAGAGAGUAGCAGGAACAUUGGGAUUAAAACACGGGCAAACAAGCAAGCAAGCAGCAAUCACAUCAAGCAUCACAAUCAGUCAUAAAAAAAUUAAUUGGUCCUAAUUUUUUAGAUAAGUUUAUUCAGUCAGGAGAGAUAAAACACAGCGUGUUACAUCUACCCAUAAGGCGCGAUUGUUCGGCCCGUCGGCAACCACUUUUGUAUAGGUCUCGUGGCAAAGCGUGUAAUCCUUUGUACAAAGCUAGGUGAUGACUUUGUGCGUAGUAAAAAAUCUAAGUAUUCCCCAACCUUUUGUCGAAGUACAUAUUUAUGUUAUGUAUUCUUGCAUAUAUUGUUAUGGUCACUCACCAUUUGUCCAAGGUGGGUACCUGACUGCCAAGGAUCCUAGCCUCCUCUAUUUUCUCUUCUUUCUUUUCCUCAGAAGGGAAAAGAAGCCCCCACGUGCAUGUCUCUCGGGGGAAGUGACGGCAAGGACACCUAUAGACGCAGCAACAAUUAGCUUGCGGCAAGGGAAGCGAGCAGUGAGAGAAAAAGGCUAAGUAAAAAUUUCUCAAAAAUUUCCCGCAACCCAGUUAGCACUCGUGUAAAAAGACCUGCACGCAGAGGGCCUUCGUCAAAAUUGUUGCACCCUUAAGUGUUUCGAGCUUACUCAACACACAAAGAAGUCGUGACAAGGACGACGAAGAGGCCUUGCCGGAGGCAACACCACUGUUGGGUUACUAAGGACUCGAUCCUAAAGAUGCCCGCAGUAAGGACGGGAGCCGGCAAGCAACGAUAGGCUACUUGUCAAAAUUAUUGCACGCUUGGGUGUCUUAGCUAAACACUUCAAGUGGUUGUGGAAAGGACGGCAAGACGAUCCUACCUGCAACACGUCAGCAAGCGUUCCCAGAAAGCAUAUGGAAUAAAGGCGCACGAGUGCGGGUUCACAAAAAGAAAAGAGAGAGAGAAGGAAAGAGCAGUUUUUUUGUCAAGACACGACAAGAAGUAAAAACACUUAACAAGGUAGCACCCAAUGUCUUCUCUUUCUGACGUUCAUAGGAUUACAUCGGGUACAGUCUAAACACAAAAGUACAUAUACCACUACAAUGUGGCAAUUUACACGGAAACAAAAAUAUCAUGCAUGGAGCUUUGUUCCCAUGUCAAACGUUCAUCACUGAGCGCGCCUAGUAGGAGUCCUCCUGCUUGAUGCCAAAAACGCUCGUGUGGUUGUCACUAUCACUAGAGGGGUCGAAGUCACUGUCGCUUGAGCUCUCCAUGCAGCAUUCCAGGCGAACAUCGGACGCCCUGAAGAACUUCACGGUGAGGGUGGCGGCGCCGCCGAACCUGCACUGAAGAGGGUGUUCGGUAUCAAGGCCCCAGGAGUGUGCGAACGACUUCCACCCCCGCAUCAGGAACAUAGCGCCCCCAGGGGUGAGGUAGACUACCACCCAGACAGGCUCGUUGCAAGAGUCGUCCACCCAGAGCCACAUGUUGGGGAACGCUGCAUGGGAAACAAAAAAUUUCCUACGCUCACCAAGAUCAAUCUAUGUAGACUAACAUCUAGGAGAGGGGGAGUGCAUCUACAUUCCCUUGUAGAUCGCUAAGCGGAAGUGUAUAUAACACCGUUCAUGUAGUCGGACGGCUUUGCGAUCCAAUCAUGAUCUAUCCCGUGAUCUCAUAACGAUCUGUCCCACGAUCCCAUCACGAUCCGUCCCGAUCUAGUACCGAACGGACGGCACCUCCGCGUUCAGCACACUAAUAGCUCGAUGACGAUUUCCAUCUCCUUGAUCCAGCAAGAGAGAGGGCGAACAGGUAGAUGGCUUCUCCGUCAGCACGACGGCAAGGCAGCGGUGUUGGUGGAGCUGUUCCGGCACGGCUUCGCCAAGAAAAACCAGAACCGAUCUUAGUGGAGAAAACCGAUCUAUGCGAGAGACAUGGAUGUGUUGUGGCAUUGGUUGGUUGCAGCCCUCUCUCCCCAUCUAUAUAUAAAUGAGGCGAAGGGGAGAGGGGUUGUGCCCUAGGGGAAAACCCCAAGGCACUACUGGAAUCACCUUCUUUGCCGUCUGCCAUCACAGACGGCAAAGACAAAAUCCCGGACGGCAAAGACAAAACAACAAACGGCAAAGAAUCUCACGGCCGGCAAAAUUUCUGUGUCAGCCUACGACGGCAUAGGACCUUCUUUGCCGUCUGUCCCCCCAAAGCGGACGGCAAAGCUCUUUGCCAUCAGCUUUCGUUAGUAGCAGUCGGCAAAGUGCUCGAGACGGCACCCGACAGGCGUUGCCUCCGUUANNNNNNNNNNNNNNNNNNNNNNNNNNNNNNNNNNNNNNNNNNNNNNNNNNNNNNNNNNNNNNNNNNNNNNNNNNNNNNNNNNNNNNNNNNNNNNNNNNNNGAAGAAGAAAAGAAGGAGAAGGAGGAGGAGGAGGAGGAGGAGAAAGUGUAGAAGGCCAAGGACCUAGUCCUUCUCCUCCUCCUCCUCCUUCUCCUCCUUCUUCUUUAUUUCUUCUUCUUCUUCUCCUCCUCCUCUUUCUUUCUCCUAUUUCAUAUACUCCUUGCCUUAAUUCCCCCAAAAAUGACAUAAUUAGCCCAUUUAGCUCCAAAAUGCCAUAAUAAGCUCAAAAUGGCAUAAGAACCUUGGUUAGCUCAUUAAUAUUGUAUACUUAGCUUGUUUUCUUCUAAAAUGGGAUAAUUAGCCCAUUUAGCUCCAAAAAGACAUAAUUAGGUAAUUUAGCUCCAACAAGAGGAGAAGAUGAGNNNNNNNNNNNNNNNNNNNNNNNNNNNNNNNNNNNNNNNNNNNNNNNNNNNNNNNNNNNNNNNNNNNNNNNNNNNNNNNNNNNNNNNNNNNNNNNNNNNNNNNNNNNNNNNNNNNNNNNNNNNNNNNNNNNNNNNNNNNNNNNNNNNNNNNNNNNNNNNNNNNNNNNNNNNNNNNNNNNNNNNNNNNNNNNNNNNNNNNNNNNNNNNNNNNNNNNNNNNNNNNNNNNNNNNNNNNNNNNNAGGAGAAGGAGGAGAAGGCCAAGGACAUUCUAGUCCUUCUCCUCCUCCUCCUCCUUCUCCUCCUUAUUCUUGAUUUCUUCUUCUUCUCCUCCUCCUCCUCUUUCUUCUCCUCUUUCAUAUUAUCAUUGCUUUAAUUUCCCCAACAAUGACAUAAUUAGCCCAUAUAGCUCCAAAAUGCCAUAAUAAGCUCAAAAUGGCAUAAGAACCUUGGUUAGCUCAUGAAUACUAUAUUCUUAGCUUGUUUUCCUCUAAAAUGGUAUAAUUAGCCCAUAUAGCUCCAAAAAGUUAUAAUUAGGUAAUUUAGCUUGAAGAAGAGGAGAAGAGGAGAAGAAAUAGGAAAAAUGAAAAGAAAGAAGAAGAAGAAGAAGAGAAGAAGGAGAAGGAGGAGAAGGCCAAGGACCUUCUAGUCCUUCUCCUCCUCCUCCUCCUUCUCCUCCUUCUUCUUUAUUUCUUAUUCUACUUCUCCUCCUUCUAUUUCUUCUCCUAUUUCAUAUUCUCCUUGCCUUAAUUUCCCCAACAAUUACAUAAUUAUCCCAUUUAGCUCCAAAAUGCCAUAAUGAGCUCAAAAUGGCAUAAGAACCUUCGUUAGCUCAUUAAUAUUGUAUACUUAGCUUGUUUNNNNNNNNNNNNNNNNNNNNNNNNNNNNNNNNNNNNNNNNNNNNNNNNNNNNNNNNNNNNNNNNNNNNNNNNNNNNNNNNNNNNNNNNNNNNNNNNNNNNNNNNNNNNNNNNNNNNNNNNNNNNNNNNNNNNNNNNNNNNNNNNNNNNNNNNNNNNNNNNNNNNNNNNNNNNNNNNNNNNNNNNNNNNNNNNNNNNNNNNNNNNNNNNNNNNNNNNNNNNNNNNNNNNNNNNNNNNNNNNNNNNNNNNNNNNNNNNNNNNNNNNNNNNNNNNNNNNNNNNNNNNNNNNNNNNNNNNNNNNNNNNNNNNNNNNNNNNNNNNNNNNNNNNNNGAGGAGGAGGAGAAGAAGGAGAAGGCCAAGGACCUUCUAGUCCUUCUCCUCCUCCUCCUUCUCCUCCUUCUUCUUGAUUUCUUCUACUUCUCCUCCUCCUCCUCUUUCUUCUCCUCUUUCACAUUAUGGUUGCGUUAAUUUCCCCAACAAUGACAUAAUUAGCCCAUUUAGCUCCAAAAUACCAUAAUAAGCUCAAAAUGGCAUAAGAACCUUGGUUAGCUCAUGAAUAUUAUAUUCUUAGCUUGUUUUCCUCUAAAAUGGCAUAAUUAGCCCAUAUAGCUCCAAAAAGACAUGAUUAGGCAAUUUAGCUCACACAAGAGGAGAAGAGGAGAAGAAAUAGGAAAAAUGAAAAGAAAGAAGAAGAGAAGAAGGAGAAGGAGGAGGAGGAAGAGGAGAAGGAGGAGAAGGCCAAGGACCUUCUUCUCCUUAUCCUCCUUCUUCUCCUUCUUCUUGAUUUCUCCUGCUUCUCCUCCUCUNNNNNNNNNNNNNNNNNNNNNNNNNNNNNNNNNNNNNNNNNNNNNNNNNNNNNNNNNNNNNNNNNNNNNNNNNNNNNNNNNNNNNNNNNNNNNNNNNNNNCCCUCUCUCUCGCCCCUCUUUGUCGUCUGCCCCCCUUUGCCAUGAGGGGGCUGACGGCAAAAGGGAGACCCAGCCCCUCUCUCUCUCCCCUCUUUGCCAUCUGCGCCCACCCCUCUGCCUUGAGGGGACUGACGGCAAAGGGGGGACCCACCCCCGCUCUCUCCCCUCUUUGCCGUCCGCAUCACCCCUUUGCGAUGAGGGGGCAGCCGGCAAAGGCGGGGACCCAGCCCCUCUCUCUCCCCUCUUUGUCGUCUGCCCUCACCCCUUUGCCAUGAGGGGGCAGACGGCAAANAUAUAUAUAUAUAUUGGACAAAUUGUUUUUGUUUCCGUACUCAUAACCAUAUUAAAAUAAAUUUCAUCCAAAGUACAUACAUAUUAUGCAAGUUGCAUCCGUACCAAACCAUAUAUUACACCAGUUUCAUCCAUGCAUAAAAAGUUUUAUAUAUAUCCAUAUACUACAAUAGUUUCAAUACAAGCUUUUGUGAAGCCAUGGUACAAGAAAUCAUAUUCAAGCAUUCCAUCAAUAUAAUCCAAGCUUCCGGUGAAGUGAAUGCAAUCUGCAAAAUGACAAAUAAGAAAGUUAGAAGAAGAAUACUAGAUGAAGAAGUAUAUAUAGGUUAUUUCGGAGAGAACUUAGCUANNNNNNNNNNNNNNNNNNNNNNNNNNNNNNNNNNNNNNNNNNNNNNNNNNNNNNNNNNNNNNNNNNNNNNNNNNNNNNNNNNNNNNNNNNNNNNNNNNNNNNNNNNNNNNNNNNNNNNNNNNNNNNNNNNNNNNNNNNNNNNNNNNNNNNNNNNNNNNNNNNNNNNNNNNNNNNNNNNNNNNNNNNNNNNNNNNNNNNNNNNNNNNNNNNNNNNNNNNNNNNNNNNNNNNNNNNNNNNNNNNNNNNNCUUAGCUAAGUAUAGGUCAUUCUAGAGAUAACUUGGAUAAGAUAUGUCAUUUUGUAGCCAACUAUGAUUAUUAAUCCAUUUUGACCUUAUUAUGUCAUUUUGGAGCUAAAUUAUUCAUUUUAAUGUGCUAACGAAGGUUCUUAUGAAGUUUUUAGCUAACUAUGCUAAUUAUGUCAUUUUGGAGGAUAAUUAGCUAAGUAUGUCUUUUUUGGGGAAAAUAACCUACGUAGAAGAAGAAAGAGAAGAAGCAAGAAGAGAAGAAGCUAGAAGGAGAAGAAAAAGAAGAAGAAGGAGGAGGAGGAGGAGGAGGAGAAGGAGAAGGAAGAGGAGAAGAAGAAGAAAAGAAGAAGGAGAAGAAGGACAAGAAGAAGGAGAAAAAGGAGAAGGAGCUUCUAUCCUCCUUCUCCUUCUUCUCCUUCUUCUUCCUCCUUCUCCUUCUNNNNNNNNNNNNNNNNNNNNNNNNNNNNNNNNNNNNNNNNNNNNNNNNNNNNNNNNNNNNNNNNNNNNNNNNNNNNNNNNNNNNNNNNNNNNNNNNNNNNNNNNNNNNNNNNNNNNNNNNNNNNNNNNNNNNNNNNNNNNNNNNNNNNNNNNNNNNNNNNNNNCUCCUUCUCCUUCUUCUUCUCUUCCUCUUCUCUUCUUCUUAUUAUUCCUUCUUUUCAUUUUUCCUCUUUCUUCUCCUCUUGUCCCCUUCUUCGGGCUAAAUUAGCUAAUUAUGCCUUUUUGGAGCUAAUUAUGUCAUUUUGAGGAUAAUUAGCUAUGUAUAGGUCAUGUUUUAUUAAAUAGACCAUUUUGGACCUAAUUAAGCUAAUUAUGUCAUUUAGGUGGAAGCCUAGCUAACUAUAGGUCAUUUCGAAGCUAACUUGGCUAAAAUAUGUCAUUCUGGAGAAAACUAUGCUUAUUAAGCCAUUUUGGAUCUAGCUAAGCUAAUUAUAGGCCAUUUAAUACCUAAGUUAGGGGGAAUAGGUCAUCUUGGAGCUAAGUUAGCCUUAUUAAGUCAUUUAGGAGAGCACUUAGCUAUGUAUAGGUCAUUUUUUAUUAAAUAGGUAAUUUUGGAGCUAACUAAGCUAAUUAUGUCAUUUAGGUGGAAGCCAAGCUAACUAUAUGUCGUUUUGGAGCUAACUUGGGUUAAAUAUGUCAUUAUGGAGCUAACUAUGCUUAUUAAGCCAUAUUGGAGCUAAAUUGGCUAAUUAUAUCAUUUAGGUGGAAGCCAAGCUAAGUAUAUAAUAUUCAUGAGCUAACCAAGGUUCUUAUGCCAUUUUGAGCUUAUUAUUCCAUUUUUGAGCUAAAUUGGUCAUUUUAAUGAGCUAACCAAGGUUUGUAUGAUGUUUUCACCUAACUAAGCUAAAUAUGUCAUUUUGUAGGAUAAUUAGCCAAUUUAGUCUUUGUUGGAUGAGUCUAAGCUACGUAGAAGAAGAGAAAGAGAAGAAGCAAGAAGAGAAUAAGAAGGAGCAGUAAAAGAAGAAGGAGGAGGAGGAGGAGAAGGAGGAGGAGAAGGAGAAGGAAGAGGAGAAGAAGAACAAAAGAAGAAGGACAAGAAGGAGGAGAAGAAGGAGAAGGAGCUUCUCUCCUCCUUCUCCUUCUUCUCCUUCUUCCUCCUUCUCCUUCUCCUUCUUCUUCUUCUUCUCUUCUCCUUCUUAUCUUCUUCUUCUUCCUUCUUUUCAUUUUUCCUCUUUCUUCUCCUCUUGUCCCGUUCUUGGGCUAAAUUACCUAAUUAUGCCUUUUUGGAGGUCAUUAUGUCAUUUUGGAGGAUAAUUAGCUAAGUAUAUGUCAUUUUUAUUAAAUAGACCAUUUUGGAGCUAACUAAGCUAAUUUUGUCAUUUAGAUGGAAGCCUAUCUAACUAUAGGUCAUUUCGGAGCUAACUUGGGUAAAAUAUGUCAUUCCGGAGCAAACUAUGUUUAUUAAGCCAUUUUGGAUCUAGCUAAGCUAAUUAUAGGCCAUUUAAUACCUAAGUUAGGGGGAAUACGUCAUCUUGGAGCUAAGUUAGCCUUAUUAUGUCAUUUAGGAGAGAACUUAGCUAACUAUAGGUCAUUUUUUAGUAAAUAGGUCAUUUUGGAGCUAACUAAGAUAAUUAUGUCAUUUAGGUGGAAGCCAAGCUAACUAUAUGUCAUUUUGGAGAUAACUUGGGUUAAAUAUGCCAUUUUGGAGCUAACUAUGCUUAUUAAGCCAUAUUGGACCAUUAUGCGGUUGUCCAGCAAAACACUAGAAAUAACAUACCAUUAUCAUCAUCACAGCGGUGAAGCACGGUGGCUCUGGCUUGUUUCACCUGGAGAAGGCUGCCCUGGAGAAGGCUCCACUGUAGAAGGGUCGUGCGAUGUGUUUCGGGAGAUAUUCUGCACCAAACAUCGUUUGCAAUGUGUCGUUAGCAUGAGGACACUCUUAAGAUCACCGCACUGAAAUGAAACUCACCGUCCCCGCCAUGUUAAUGACAGGCAUUGCCGGAGGGACUUUGCCGGUCUUCUUGCACAUAGAAUGUACAUUUGGUUUUGACGAGUCAAACUUUUUAGUUAUUAAUGAAAUGGACAUUAAAAUGCAAGAUUUGAAAUAAUAUGAAGAAGAAACUUACCACGAAGAGCUCGUAUAUGGCCCUGUUAGACGCAUCAUUCCGUGCCCUCUAAGCCUCCACCAAUGCAGUCGUUCCCUCCUCGAGCUCCCUCAUCUCCUUAUCCUUAUCCGCCAUAACCGCCUGCAUUGCCUCUCUCUCUUUGAGAAUAGCAGCCUGCAACACAACUCAUUGUUAUCAUUUAUCAUAUUGGUUCCAACGCACAACAUAAUGCGGAAAGAUAGUUGAGUCCAUUAAACUAACCUCGAUGGCGAGCUCGACUGGCCGUGGACGAGGUGUUAUCUCACGACAGGAGCUCGUUUGGCGUGCCUUUAUCUCCCGGAGAGUGCUAGGACAACAUAUAAGGCCGUCUCCAAUGGCGAUCGAGCCAUGGGGCCGCCCGUUGCCAGCUAUCAUCACCAGCUCUAGAUCAAUAGGCCCCUCGCUCGGGUUAAAGUCCUCCCCUUUCCUCGCCUUCCCGUGAUCUCUGUACUUCACGAGCUUGUGGUGGGAGGAGAUGUUGGUGAAGUUUUCUGGAUGCUCGAGGUCAGACUCAGAGAAUGCUUUGACCUUCUUGUACGAGGCAGUAUGGGCCAUCGCAUAUAGGUCGUACAUCUGUGGCACUUCCGUCUUAUAGUGACGCGCCUGAAAGAGAGAGAGAGGAAAAUUGUAUUAGUAAAGGGCUCAAGAUAGCAUCAAGAAUGAAUUGCAUGAGGCAAGAAGCAAACCACAUACCUAGCUCUCACCCAAUUGGAUUAAGUUGACGCUCCCUUGAUGGUGUGGCACACCAACUUUUUUGCCACGCCUCUCCUUGGCGUUGUUGUGGCUGGCCUCCCACGUUUCAGAGAACCACUGAUCCACCAAGGCCUCCCAACAAUCCAUCUCAUCCACACACCAUCUCGGGGGCACCUAAGUUAAUAAAGAGAAAUUGGAGCGCGUAAGAACCAAAUCAAGGAAACUAACUACAAAGACUUAUUAAUAUAUAAUUACCAUCAUAUAAUGCUCCUUCUCCAUCUUAGAACCACGACACUUCGCCUUGUCCUUCCUAAUACGCCGCGAGGCAUAGUAGUCUCGAAGAGCCUGCACCCGAGCCUCAUGCCGAAAGUUUUGAAGUAGGCGGCGACAUUCGGUUUCAAUAACCUUUGUCGCGUCCUCCUCGUAUCCCUCCUCACACCUGUAGUAGGUCUGCAAACGAGACAACACCGAUUAGUACAAUAACUAGCUAUGGUUGAUUUAUAAUUGUGUGAAUGAAAAACUACCCAGAACUGUCGGAUCACCAUGUCGGCCCUCGUGUGGCACAAAACACCGUCGGUUUCCACCUCCGGUGGGGCCGGGGCACCCAAGUAGUGCUCCCAGGUCAUUGCUACCUCUCGCUCCUGACCGGGCAACGUAACAAACCAUGGUAGUUUUGACGGCAAAGCACACCAAGGACGUUGUUGGGCUUGCGGACACCCUUGGCAACAAUCCAACCCCUAUAGUAUGACAAAUUAAAGCCAAAACAUUAGAUAUUUUAAAUUAAAGGCAAAAGGUUAAAUAAGAGUAAAUUAACUUGUCCCCAUUUGUCUUAAUCGACUACCUCUGCUCGCGGGUCGACGGCACGAGCGGGAGCCCCGAACUACCACGCCGGUACACGGUAGCCCCCUCACCCAGCUCCUCGUCGCUAUCAGGAUGGCCCCUUGGCUCAGCCCAGGUUUCCCACUGGGUCUCUGGGAUGUACCCUCGUCCCUGCUUUGCUACGGAAUCGCCUGGAACGAAGCCUCUAGGACACGAGUCUCGUGGGUCGAAGGCUUGUCGACCUGAGGCUCGUCGACCCGAGGCUCGUGAACCGGAGACCAUGUAGCCUCCACCUUAGAUGAAUACAUUCUAGAAGUCAUGUGCUCAGGUGAAUCAGCUUGGGGUGGUGGCGGAGACCGUGUAGCCUCACCUCAGAAGGCGUGGCAGCCACCGCCCUACCUCUCCCACGGCCACAUGUACCUUUAGUACAACAUAAAUACCAACAUGAGUAAUAAAAUAUAUAUAAAUACCAACAUGCAUACAACAUGAGUACAACAUAAAUACCAACAUGAAUACAACGUGUACCUUUAGUACCUCUAGGCUUCGCGGGGGGUCGACCUCCUCUCACGGGGGGCGUGUGAUAACUCGAUGCCAAUGUUCCAGAAGAUUCCCCUUUUCUUUCCGUUUUCGUCGUGUGUCUAUUUUUAUUUGUUGCAUCAUCAUCGCAUCAUGCGCAUCAUCAGCUUUGUAUCGACACUCAGUUGCCGCCAGUUUUCAAAACUUGCAUCCGUUAUUAGUUGUCGGUUCUCGUCGUUGUCCGUUCUGAGCCCGACCGCACUCGCACGCGCCCGCGCCGUCGUUCAAAUCUUGUUUUCAAAAGUGUGCGUAAAACUUUCUCUGAUUGGGUUGAGAUUUGACGUGCGGUCUUAUUUUAAUAUAGGUAGGCCGCCUGUCAAAUUUCGUCGUGAUUGGAGUCCGUCUCGUAACCGAACGGUCGACCGUAGCGGCACCGUAUUCGGUUUAUCAUCGGACAUGUUCCGGGGUUUUAAAAAAAUACGUUGCCGGGUGGCCGUUUUCCCUCUCAUCUCCGCCUAGCCCGUCUGCACAGUGUUUCGACCCUACGCGCAGCCCAGUCCGAAAACCUCCCGGAACCCGAACCCGGGAAUCAUGACCGUUGGAUCCGGAUCAACCCCGUUUUACCGCAAACAGUCAUCAGUUUGUCCAUUGGACUCCCUACCCUAUUCAUUCUCGACCGUCCGAUUUACAUCGAAGGGUCCAAAUGCCCCAUUGGACUAACCAAAUUAUUAUUUGUAGUCCACCAAGACCUAACCCUAGCCAAAUCUUGAUCCCCACUAUUUUUCUUGAUCUCCUCUCCGUCCUCCCGACAGCGCCGCCUCCCUGCCCAGAAUCCCACGCGCUCAGCCUCUCCUCCUGCUCCCCCCUCUGUUCCCCGUGCUUGGGUCGGUUGCUGCCCAAAAACCCCAUCCGCUCCAGGCCAGAGCCCCCCGUCUCCAUCUCCUUCCUACCAUCUCUCUCCCUCGUCUCAUCUCUCUCUCCGUCUUACAGCAGCAGCACCUGCAGGAGCAGCCGAGCCGCCCAUGGAGCUUCUCCACAUCUGGAGCUACAGUGUCGUGCAAGACACCAUGCUAGCGGGAACGGGACCCCCUCGUCCGGAUCCUUCGUGCCCUGCAAAAACCCAUCACUCCCCCAUAGGAUCCNNNNNNNNNNNNNNNNNNNNNNNNNNNNNNNNNNNNNNNNNNNNNNNNNNNNNNNNNNNNNNNNNNNNNNNNNNNNNNNNNNNNNNNNNNNNNNNNNNNNUAUUUAGUUCUAUCCCAGUUAGAUACACGCAAUAUUAAAUGUGGUUAAACAUGGCAAGAGUUGAAGCGCAAUUAAUCUACCUAUCUAGGCAUUUUAAAUGAGGUCGGAAAUGACAUAUAGCAUCUCCAAGACGACCUCACAUGUUAAUUAACAAUUCUGUUGAGAUCUGAACUACACAUUAUAUUAGUUGUUAAACAGCAAAACAAAUAGGUUCACGUGAUUCUACGCGUCGAUACAAGAAAUUUACACAUAGAGAUCAUCUCCAACGGAGCUACGGAUCAAAAGAUACAAGCACCACAAGAUAUGAAGGCAUGAAUGCAAUAUGUGUGUAACAACGGUCACGAGCACUUCAAAACAUACAACCAGCAAGAGAAAAUGAAACUACACGAGAUUCUAAGCAAGUUUCAUGAAGGACAUGAUCAAAUCGGAGCUACGUAUCAAAAGCUACGAGCAAAACAAGAAAUCACUACAAUCUGCCAAAAUCAGCCACAUAGCAUUUACUACACCCCACAACUACGAGCUACUCAACUCCAAUAUAAUCAACCAAGGCAUGACACGAAAGAGGGCAAGAAGCACUACAACAAACAACUAACGACAACUAGCAUGGCAGCAAGGAACACUAGGGAAAGAAGUCACAAAAUGGCAUCUCACACACUAUUUCAGACUUAGUGAAAAUAACACUUCAUGAAAGUGCAGUUUUCGAUCUGAAGCCAUAUUGACAGCAGCAAAACCAUAAGCUACAGGACUCCAGAUGGCAUGAAAAUUCACAGCAUGCUAGAUAAUUACAAUGUCUACAACUAACUCCAUUGCACCAACCCCAAAAGAGCUAGAGAUCACAAGUUAGAAGCAAAAAAAAAAACAGCAACAAAAUAUAACAGAUUUCAGACUUAGAAAUAUUUCAGCACCUCCAAAUCAGCACUAUUUCUAGCAACUUGAGAGCAAGCAAACCACACCUAUACAUGCAUUUCUAUUGCAACCAAAAUUNNNNNNNNNNNNNNNNNNNNNNNNNNNNNNNNNNNNNNNNNNNNNNNNNNNNNNNNNNNNNNNNNNNNNNNNNNNNNNNNNNNNNNNNNNNNNNNNNNNNNNNNNNNNNNNNNNNNNNNNNNNNNNNNNNNNNNNNNNNNNNNNNNNNNNNNNNNNNNNNNNNNNNNNNNNNNNNNNNNNNNNNNNNNNNNNNNNNNNNNNNNNNGCACGGAAUAAAUCCUACGAAAUAAACAAGAGGGCAACAUAGCAAAAUAUCGCGCGAACUAACUUGCUCAAAAGCUAAAACUAAUUGCACCAAAAAAUCCUAUGGAUUUUUCUACCCCGAAAACAUACAAAACAUGUGGGGUUGCACAACAAUAAUUUCACCACACGUAAAUGCGAGAUAACGUCCUAAACACGGAAAAUAAUAUAGCGGCAAAUCCCUACACGUAAAAAUACCAAUGACUACUCUAAAAUACAUGGAAAAGGUGCUCCUAAAACAUGGACAUUUAAUCUACGGCAUUCGGGCAAACCGGACACGCACGAGAAAAUAAAACGAGACGAAACCUAUUGGAACAGCACGCGUUUCUAGUCAUACAGCACGCUAAACGACGUCAAACAAUUAUGCAAGUUGCAAAAACGGAUUCUACGCGAAAUUCUACACCAAAAACAUAUGCUACACGUCGCGAACCGAUUUACGGUUAAAUAGUUACGGGCAAAAUAAUCUACGUCUAAUUCAUGAAAUUUAAAUAAUUCCAAAAAAAGGUAACUAAACUAUCGGGCCAACAGGGGGCGCAAAAUACCUAAGGCGCGCUGGGGGCGAGGAUUAGCUCACCUCAAGGGAAGUCACUCGGGCCGGUUGGAGUAGUGGGCCGAGCAGGGAGGAGAAGGCCCAGGCGGGGGCGCCUAGUAGUGGGCCAAGGCGGCUUGCGCGGGAGGCCGGCCCACGCGGGCGCUGGCGAGUGCUCUCGCUCGACGUCGCAGCUCGGGCGUUCAACGCGGGGCUCGAGCCUUCCACGAUCCCGCCUGGAUCGGGAGGCCGGCCGGCUGCAACCGACGGCGGGGCCAUUGCAGGUGAUGGGAGGCGGCGGAUUGGCCGCGGGGCAGAUGGAUCCGGCCAGCGGCGGCUCCUAUCCCGGCGACGGCCGACGUACACGGGCAAGGGCGGAGCAGAUCGAGGCAGCUGGAGGCAGAUGACGGCGCGACCUCCGGCGGGCAGGAUGCGGCGGCCGGCGGGGAAGCAGGUGCUCCCCGGCAAGGGGCUCCGGCUUGCCUCGGGGGCUGGCCACCUCGGGCAGGAUCCAUGGGGAGGGACCUCGGGUCCAUGGCGAGGUCGGCUGCGGGGCGGUGCGGGCAGAACGGGGCGGCGGCGGCUCGGGCCCGGCGGGCUCGAGAUGGGCCUGGGCGGGCCCUGCGCGGGAGGAGAGAGGAGAGAUCCUCGAGGUGGCGGCUGCUGGGUAGGUGGGGUGCGGAUCCCGAGGUAGGGCUAGGUUUUGCCUAAAAUGGAAGGGAGAGCCUCUAUUUAUAGGAAGGGGCUAGGUUAGAGGGUAUCUGGGGGUUUUUCGACCCUCUGAUCACGAUCGUGCGGUCCGAUCGGAGAGGCGGGUUAGGGUUAGUUGUGUAGAGUGGCGUUGGCUAAGAUUAGAGGGAAGACGGGCGACCUGGCAAUGUAUUUUAAAACACCGACAGACGUCCGACGGUAGACCGAAUACGGUGCCGGUACGGUCGACCGUUCGGGUACCAGACGGACUCCGAUCGCGACGAAAUUCGACAGGCGGCCUAGCUAUAACUAAUUACAACAGCAUGCCAAGUUUCACCCCGAACAGUGAAAGUUUUUUAACACACUUUUUAAAACAAGAUUUAAACGAUGUCGCGGGCGUGUGCGAGUGUGGUCGGACUCGGAACGAAUAACGACGAUAACCGUCCACUAACAACGGAUGCAAGUUUUGAAAACUGGCGGCAACGGAAUGUCGAUGCAAUGCAGAUGAUGCGAUGAUGAUGCGACAAAUGAAAAUAGACACACGACAAAAAUGGAAUAGAAGGGGAAUCUUUUGGAACGUCGGCAUCGGGCUGUCACAACUCUCCUACACUACAAGAGGAUCUCGCCCCGAGAUCCAAGAAUGAAAGGGGGAGAGGAUGAGAAAGAACAAGAGGUAAAAACUUAGUCGCUUCUUGGACAAACGAGUGAAACCAACGAUCUUUGAAGGUUGCAAAGCGAUGAGGAAUGAUAUGAGAAAGAAGCAAGAAUUCACGGAAAAUUUCGGCAGCACUUCGUUGGAAAAUGGAACAAAAAAUUCGAUAAGAUGGAAGAAAUACACAAUAUUCAUAACAAACAAGUAAAUAGAACAAGGGAACACCAUGAUCUUGGUAGAACAACAUAAUAGACCCAAAAGAGCAAUAUCACAAUGCCUCCGGAACAAUAGAAUAGGAACUAGCUCAUAUGGAAGAAGAGAAUGAAGAGAGAAUGACAACUACUAACUCCAAUGAACUUGGCAAUCAUCCUUGCAAGAAGAACUGAACAGAGUUGUUGGAAAAACAACAACGAAAAGAACAAGAUAGUAGUGGGCUUAUGGAACCCUUUUUAAACUAAUGAAGUGACAACCAGCCACUAACAGAAACAAGAAUUGAUUGGGAGAAACAAGAUAUGAACAAUUUCUUACACCAAGAGGAUACAUUGAGAACUUGGAUUAAUGACAAGCACCAUAAUAGCAACACUCCAUAGGAAAAGCUUUAGGUGAAAUCCAAACCAAGAUAGCUCAAUGAAGGAAUCAUGGGUUGAAACUAACUCAUGAUCAUAGAAUUGGUGGGUUCAAUUAUCUCAUUCUUGAAAGGAAAACUCUUCGAGGCUCCUACACUAACAAGAAUGCUAUAAUACCACCUCAAAGGAUAAAGGAAGAACAAUAGCACAUAGAAAUGCAAGAGAAAGGAUACUUGAGGUUCUCAAACAAGAAUCUUGAAGAACACUUGAGAAUGGAUUGAAACCAUGACGAACCACCAUGAAGGACCUCCGUAUGCAAAUGAAUGAUGCAAAGAUAUGAAGGUAGAAAAGAAUAAGAUUAUGACCUUGCCAAGAUUUAGACUAAGCUUCACAAAGAGAAACUUGACAAAACUUGGAACUCCAGAAAAGAAAGAUAAGCACAUGAGAAAAGAAUUGAAACCACGAGCCACUCCAGAAAAAGAAUUGAAAUCUCUUGGAAGAAGGAAGAACAAGACUAAGAAUUAUGUUAUGCUCAUCCUUCAUCAAAUUAAAUUGAUCACAAGCAACGGAUUUAGCAUACAGCUUAUUCUUCUUGAAAGAAACUUGAAAAGAGAGAUAGGUAAGCACCACUUGAAGCAUAAUUGAAGGAAGCACCGGUAAGAAUUCACAAUUGAAUGGGAAAACCAAGAAUUAAUGGAGAUACAUGAGAAUGAAGAGAUCAUGAUCCACCUGAAGGACAACUUGAACAAAGCACCGGAUAAUCGAGAGACGAACGAAGAGACAACCAUUGAGAAGAAUUGAGGAUGAAAGCUGAAAGCUGAGAACGAAAAAUCUUCUGAAAUGAUGGCCUUCGGAGGAACGAGAAAUAAAAACAACUCAUAAAUGCACUGGAUAGCAAGAAAGGGAUUACUCACGAUAGAAACAAUUGAGAGGAUAACACAAAGCUGAGAUGACAAUCUUCACAAGAAUGGAGCAAGAUUUGAGAGAAACACUCCUUCGAAUUUGCAAGCUGAGAAUGAUGGCGAGAAACAACACCAAGAAUACUGAGACACUCCGGAAUAAUGAAGAAUGAAAGGUUUAGCCAAAGACGAAAAUAAAUUCAAAUUGAUCUUGGAGAAGGAAUAUGACUGAUGAAAUUCAUACUUAUGUCAUGGUUGAAAAGAAUUAAAGACCUCCGGAAAGAUUACAAUAGCUAUAUAAGAUCCUCAGAAAAACAUGUGGGUUAUGGGCCCACUUAAAGAAACCAGAGUUGAAAAGAUUGCUAGAAAGAUUGAUAUAGCACUGGUACAAAUGACGACUAGAUGAGGUUAGCACCUCGAAAUAAUUAAAAGGAUUGGAAACAAGAACUUCUGAGAUAACUUCAGCACUCCGGAUAGCAUAGAGAGAAAUGACAAUAAGAAGACUGAUGAGAAUUUCCAACAUGGGAAAAAUUACAAGGAUGAAUAGGAUACAAUGAACACGGAUAAUUAAAUUAAAUUCACCAGAAAAGAUGACAUAAUGAAUAAAGAUGAACACGAAGCUCCUGAUAAACUUCACAAUGAAUCACCGGGUAAGAGAGAAAAGAACAGAUAGCGGAAACACAAUGAAAAGAAAACUCUUGGAUGAAAAUUGAAUCACUGAGAAAAAGCGCGGGAGGGUGGGGAAAAACAAAGACAACUUGGUCUAGAUGAGAUGAACUCCGGAAUAAAAUAAGAGAAUGAUCUUACAAAAAUUGGAGUGGAUUGAAUCCACUUGGCGAGAAACACACCGGUUGAAAAGACUUGACAUAACAACUCCGGUUGCCAAAAUUGAUAAGACUAUUGAUUUGAGCAAGGAGAAUUAGCAUUCCCACAAAAAUGUGAGAACACCGCUUAGAGAAAAUCUGAAAUCACCACUUGACAUCGAAGCAACUUGAAUUACCACAUUCAACAAAACAAAGGGUGAGGCUUAUGAAACAAGCCAUAACAAACUCAUGAGAAAGAUUUCGUCCGAUAUUUUUGUGGACAGGAUCGCACGGGCUCGAUCCUUACAGUAGCCAUCAAGUGCAAGGCAGUGCACUGAUGUCUACUAUGCAACCUUCUCCUUGUAGACGUUGUUGGGCCUCCAAGUGCAGAGGUUUGUAGGACAGUAGAAAUUUUCCCUCAAGUGGGUGACCUAAGGUUUAUCAAUCUGCGGGAGGCAUAGCAUGAAGAUGGUCUCUCUCAAGCAACCCUGCAACCAAAUAGCAAAGAGUCUCUUGUGUCCCCAACAAACCCAAUACAAUGUUAAGUUGUAUAGGUGCACUAGUUCGGCGAAGAGAAGGUGAAACAAGUGUAAUAUGGAUGGUAGAUAUAGGUUUUUGUAAUCUGAAAUUACAAAAACAGCAAGGUAACAAAUGGUAAAAGUGAGCACGAACGGUAUUGCAAUGCAUGGAAACAAGGCCUAGGGUUCAUACUUUCACUAGUGAAGUUCUCUCAACAAUGAUAACAUAAUUGGAUCAUAUAACUAGCCCUCAACAUGCAACAAAGAGUCACUCCAAAGUCACUAAUAGCGGGGAACAAACAAAGAGAUUAUUGUCGGGUACGAAACCACCACAAAGUUAUUCUUUCUGAUCGAUCUAUUCAAGAGUUCGUACUAGAAUAACACCUAAAGAUACAUAUCAACCAAGACCCUAAUGUCACCUCGAUACUCCAUUGUCACCUCAAGUAUCUGUGGGCAUGAUUAUACGAUAUGCAUCACAUAAUCUCAGAAUCAUCUAUUCAACCAACACAUAGAACUUCAAAGAGUGCCCCAAAGUUUCUACCAGAGAGUCAAAACGUGUGCCAACCCCUAUGCAUUGGUUCCAAAUGUCACAAACCCGCAAGUUGAUCACCAAAACAUACAUCAAGUACUUACAUGAAUCCACGUGUGCCAACCCAUAUGCAUAGGUUCCCAAUUGUCACAAACCCGCAAGUUGAUCAUAGCAGAUAGACACGUGCAAGACAUACAUCAAGUGUUCUCAAAGACUCAAUCCGAUAAGAUAACUCCAAAGAGGAAACUCAAUUCAUUACAAGAGGGAGAGGGGGAAGAACAUCAUAAGAUCCAACUAUAGUAGCAAAGCCCAUGGUACAUCGAGAUCAAGACAUCUCAAGAACACGACAGAGAGAGAUAUCAAACACAUAGCUAUUGGUACAUACCCUCAGCCCCGAGGGAGAACUACUCCCUCCUCGUCAUGGAGAUCGCCGGGAUGAUGAAGAUGGGCACCGGAGAUGGAUUCCCCCUCCGGCAGGGUGCCAGAACGGGCUCCAGAUUGGUUUUUGGUGGCUACAGAAGAUUGCGGCGGCGGAACUCCCAAUCUAGGUUUCUUUCUGGAGGUUUCUGAAUUUAUAGGAAUUUAUGGCGGUGGAAUUGCGUCAGUUGGGCCCACGAGGAGGUCACAAGCCUGCGCGCCACCACCGGGGGGGUGGUGGCGGCAUGAGGGCUUGUGACUCCCUCGUGGCUCAUCUGGCCUUCUCCCAAAGCUUCAGGGGUCUCUUUUGGUCCAAAAAAAUCAUCGUAAAAUUUCAUUCCAUUUGGACUCCGUGUGAAAAUGGGCCAAAAACACGGAAAAAACAGAAACUGGCACUUGGCACUGAGUUAAUAGGUUAGUCCCAAAAAAGAUAUAAAAUAGCAUAUUCAUGCAUAUAAAACAUCCAAAGUUGACAAGAUAAUAGAAUGGAACCAUCAAAAAUUAUAGAUACGUUGGAGAUGUAUCAAGCAUCCCCAAGCUUAACUCCUGCUCGUCCUCGAGUAGGAAAGUGAUAAAGAAUGAAUUUUUGAUGUUGCAUGCUACCUAGCAUAGUUGUCCUUUGUAACUUCUCUCAUGUGACAUGAAUGUUCAGAUCCGUUAGAUUCAAAACAAUAGUUUUCUAUUGAUGUGGAGACAAUAAUACUUCAAGCAAACUAGCAAGGUAAUCAUGAACUUUCAAAAUAACAAGGCCAAAAAGAAAGUUAUCCCUACAAAAUCAUAUAGUCUAGCUAUGCUCUAUCAUCCUUGCACAACAAAUUUAAAUCAUGCACAACCCCGGUAUUGGCCAAGUAAUUGUUUUCACACCUUUACUUUCUCAAACCUUUUCAACUCUCACGCAAUACAUGAGCGUGAGCCAUGGUUUUAGCACUAUAAGUGGUGUGGAGUGUGGUGGAGGUUGCAAGGCAAACAAGGAGAAGAUGGUCACAUUGACUAGGCAUAUCAAUGAGCUAUGGAGAUGCUCAUCAAUAGAUAUCAAUGUGAAUGAGUAGGGAUUGCCAUACAAAUGAUGCACUAGAGCUAGGAGUAUGUGAAAGCUCUUAAAGAAAACUAGUGGGUGUGCAUCCAACUUGCUUGCUCAAGAGGACCUAAGGCGAUUUUGAGGAAGCCUAUCAUUGGAAUAUACAAGCCAAGUUAUAUAAUGAAAAUUUCACACUAGCUAUAUGGCAGUGACAAAACGAGAGACUAUCAAUCAUGAAGAUCAUGGUGCUUAAUAUGCACAAGUGUGGAAAAGUGGUAGCAUUGUCCCUUCUCUCUUUCUCUCUCAUUUUUUUUGGUGGGCUCUUUGGCCUCUUCUUUUUUUUGGUGGGUAUCUUUGGCCUCUUUUAUUUCCUCACAUGGGACAAUGCUCCAUCAAUGAUUAUCAUCACACUUUCAACUCAAAACUUAGAGCAACGAUGACUCUAUAUGGAAUGCCUUCGGUAGUGUACCGUGACAAUGAUCUAGCAUGGCAUAGACAUUAAUGGAAACAUCAUGCUAGCUAUCUUACGAUCAUGCAAUGGCAAUGUAGACGUGGUGGCACAUAUCAUGUUGGUAGUUGCAUGUCAAUAUAUCUCGGAAUGACCUUGAAAAAGCCAUAGUAGGUAAGUAUGGUGGCUGUUUUGAGGGAGGCUAAUGGUGGGUUUUGUGCACCGGUGGAAGUUGCACGGCACUAAGAAGAUAGUGAUGGUGGUAGGUGAAAGUGCAUCUAAACCAUGGACUCAACAUUAGUCAUGAAGAACUCAUAUACUUGUUGCAAAAGUUCUAUUAGUAAUCGAAACAAAGCAUUCAACGCAUACUCCUAGGGGAAGGGUUCGUAGGUAUAAACCAUCGCACGAUCCCGACCGCCACCCAAAGGAUGACAAUCAAUAUACUAAUCAUGCUCAUAUUUCAUCACAUAGCGGAUCACCAUACGUGCAUGCUACGGGAAUCACUAACUUCAACACAAGUAUUUCUAGAUCCACAACACCUUACUAGCAUGACUUCAAUAUUACCAAACCACAACUCAAAACUAAUUGAGAUGAGUCAAACUUCUCUAACUAUUCAAUGCACAUGAAGGUGGAAGUUUUCGUAUCCCUUUGGAUAACUACCCCUUUUGAGACUACUUUCAAAGCAUAGAUCAACUACCAAGCCACGCACCACUGCGCUCUAAAAGAUAUAAGUGAAGCACAUAGAGCAAAAGUAUCUAGCUCAAAAGAUAUAAGUGAAGCACAUGUGAGCUGAAUUGUCUACCAAAGGAUAUAAGUGAAGCUCGACAAAAUCAUGGUGAGUGCAUGUCUCUCUCUCUCUAGGUGUGCAGCAAGGAUGAUUGUGACACAACAAAAAAUAAAAGACCCUAAGAUACAAGACUCUCCAAGCAAAACACAUAACAUGUGGUGAAUAAAAAUAUAGCCCCAAGUAACGUUACUGAUGGAUCGAAGACGAAAGAGGGGAUGCCUUCCCGGGGCAUCCCCAAGCUUAGGAUUUUACGGCAUCCUUGAAUCAACUUGGGGUGCCUUGGGCAUCCCCAAGCUUGAUAUCUUGCCACUCUCUAUCUCUUUGUCCAUAAGAACUUCUCCCAAAACUUGAAAACUUCACAACACGAAACUUAAACAGAAACUCGUGAUAUCAUUAGUAUAAGAAAGCAAAUCACCACUUCCUUAGGUACUGUAGCAAACUUAAAUUAUACUUAUGUCGGUGUUGGGUUGCUGUAUUUUCACUUUUCCAUUGCUAGUACCCUCCGAUACUAUCCAUAGUUUCAUCAAAAUAAGCAACCAACUCAACAAAAAUAGAAUCUGUUAACAGCAGACCAGUCUGUAGCAAUCUGUAUACUUCGUAUACUUCUGGUACUUCAAAAAAUCUGAAUAAUUACGACUGUCUGAAUGAAUUGCAUAUAAAUCAGCAUCAAAAAAUGAACUCAAAAGCUCUUACAGAAUAAAAAUGAAAAUUCUUUUCGUGAGGAGAAAGUUUCUGUCUUCUCCAGCAUGACCAAACGAUCAUCCCCAAGACUAAUCAUAACGGUUUUGCUUGGCACAAACGCAAAAAGAAACACAAAAAACACAAUAAUAACAGAAUUAUGAUGGUGUGGAGAAAAAAAACAGGAAGCAAAAAAGCAAAGAAAAAUUUAUUCAUUGGGUUGCCUCCCAACAAGCGCUAUUGUUUAACGCCCUUAGCUAGGCAUUGAUUUCAAUGAUGCUCACAUAAAAGGUAAGGAUUGAAACACAACAAGAGCAUCAUGGAGAAAAUGGCUAGCACAUUUAAGUCUAACCCACUUCCUAUGCAUAGGGAUUUUGUGAUCAAAAAAUUUAUUGGAGCAAGAAUCAACUAGCAUAGGAAGGCAAAACAAGCAUAGCUUCAAAAAUUUCAACACAUGGAGAGGAAGCUUGAUACUAUUGCAAUAAGUAGAAGCAUAUGAUCCUCUCUCAUAGUAAUUUUCAGUAGCAUCAUGAAUGAAUUCAACAAUAUAACCAGCACAUAAAGCAUUCUUUUCAUGAUCUACAAGCAUAGAAAUUUUACUACUCUCCACAUAAGGAAAUCUAUUCUCAAGAGUAGUAGUGGGAGUAUCGUAAAAGACUUGAGCUCUACAAAUUGUGUCCACAAUGAAAAAGCAAGGUUUAGCAAAGGGUUUCUCGAGAGUAUGACAAGUUUUAUCAUCCCUCUUCUUUAAAGCAUAAGUAUCCUCACAAUAAUCAUCAUAGAUAGGGGGCAUGCUUUCAUCAAAAUGAUUUUGAUCAUUCAAAGUGGAACAACUAAAAAGAUCAUCAUUAUCAAAUAUAGCAUCCCCAAGCUUGUGGCUUUGCAUAUCAUUAGCAUCAUGGGUAUUCAAAGAACUCAUGCUAAGAACAUUGCAAUCAUGCUCAUCAUUCACAUAUUCUAUGCCAAGCAUUCUAUGUAAUUCUUCUUUCAGCACUUGAGCACAAUUUUCCUUCCCAUCAUGCUCACGAAAGACAUUGAAAAGAUGGAGCAUAUGAGGCAUCCUCAAUUCCAUUUUUUUGUAGUUUUCUAGAGAAAGAAUAAGAAACAAAAAGAUUUGAUUGGAAGAUCUAAAGAUAUACCUUCAAGCGCUAACCUCCCCGGCAACGGUGCGAGAAAAGAGCUUCGUUGACGGGAUGUUAGUGCCGCUUACCUAGCCUCCCCGGCAACAGCGCCAGAAAAGAGCUUGAUGUCUACUACGCAACCUUCUCCUUGUACACGUUGUUGGGCCUCCAAGUGCAGAGGUUUGUAGGACAGUAGCAAUUUUCCCUCAAGUGGGUGACCUAAGGUUUAUCAAUCCGCAGGAGGCGUAGGAUGAAGAUGGUCUCUCUCAAGCAACCCUGCAACCAAAUAGCAAAGAGUCACUUGUGUCCCCAACACACCCAAUACAAUGGUAAGUUGUAUAGGUGCACUAGUUCGGCGAAGAGAAGGUGAAACAAGUGCAAUAUGGAUGGUAGAUAUAGGUUUUUGUAAUCUGAAAUUACAAAAACAGCAAGGUAACAAAUGGUAAAAGUGAGCACGAACGGUAUUGCAAUGCAUGGAAACAAGGCCUAGGGUUCAUACUUUCACUAGUGAAGUUCUCUCAACAAUGAUAACAUAAUUGGAUCAUAUAACUAGCCCUCAACAUGCAACAAAGAAUCACUCCAAAGUCACUAAUAGCGGGGAACAAACGAAGAGAUUAUUGUCGGGUACGAAACCACCACAAAGUUAUUCUUUCUAAUCGAUCUAUUCAAGAGUUCGUACUAGAAUAACACCUAAAGAUACAUAUCAACCAAGACCCUAAUGUCACCUAGAUACUCUAUUUUCACCUCAAGUAUCCGUGGGGCAUGAUUAUACGAUAUGCAUCACAUAAUCUCACAAUCAUCUAUUCAACCAACACAUAGAACUUCAAAGAGUGCCCCAAAGUUUCUACCAGAGAGUCAAAACGUGUGCCAACCCAUGUGCAUAGGUUCCCAAUGUCACGAACCCGCAAGUUGAUCACCAAAACAUACAUCAAGUACUCACAUGAAUCCACGUGUGCCAACCCAUAUGCAUAGGUUCCCAAUUGUCACAAACCCGCAAGUUGAUCACAGCAGAUAGACCCGUGCAAGACAUACAUCAAGUGUUCUCAAAGACUCAAUCCGAUAAGAUAACUCCAAAGGGGAAACUCAAUUCAUUACAAGAGGGAGAGGGGGAAGAACAUCAUAAGAUCCAACUAUAGUAGCAAAGCCCAUGGUACAUCGAGAUCAAGACAUCUCAAGAACACGAGAGAGAGAGAGAUCCAACACAUAGCUACUGGUACAUACCCUCACCCCCGAGGGAGAACUACUCCCUCCUCGUCAUUGAGAUCGCCGGGAUGAUGAAGAUGGCCACCGGAGAUGGAUUCCCCCUCCGGCAGGGUGCCAUAACGGGUUCUAGAUUGGUUUUUGGUGGCUACAGAGGCUUGCGGCGGCGGAACUCCCGAUCUAGGUUUCUUUCUGGGGGUUUCUGAAUUUAUAGGAAUUUAUGGUGGUGGAAUUGCGUCAGUUGGGCCCACGAGGAGGUCACAAGCCUGCGCGCCACUACAGGGGGGUGGCGGCGGCGUGAGGGCUUGUGACUCCCUCGUGGCCCAUCUGGCUUUCUCCCAAUGCUUCGGGGGUCUCUUUUGGUCCCAAGAAAAUCAUCGGAAAGUUUCAUUCCAUUUGGACUCCGUCUGAAAAUGGGCCAAAAACACAGAAAAAACAGAAACUGGCACUUGGCACUGAGUUAAUAGGUUAGUCCCAAAAAAGAUAUAAAAUAGCAUAUUCAUGCAUAUAAAACAUCCAAAGUUGACAAGAUAAUAGAAUGGAACCAUCAAAAAUUAUAGAUACGUUGGAGACGUAUCAAGCACCCGACAUACGAAGCGUCCCCGAGUCGUAGCAAGCUACGAGGACUCUUUAAGACACAACGUGUACCGCUGUAAGUCGACUGUCAACAAACGAAUCCACUAGAUGUCGAACCCCAACCUAACAUCAUGUAUUUGUUGGAAGAUUGUCCUAUAAGCAACUACUUGAAUUCCCACCUAAGAAUUCCCGAAAUAUCUGGUCAUGCAAUCUGAUACACGGAUACAAGGAGUAAGAACACACAACUCCUAUACUAACCCGUCACCUGUAUCACGUCCGUCAACACACGACCAGAAUCUCGGACCCUCAUCUACUAUAGACCCUCGUGAUCACAACGAAACAAAGUAUGGCAGUACUCCCAAACAAUCUGCACCAGUACUGGGGACAUCAGGGUUAUCUCGCCACUACUUGUCUUGAAGCAAUUACGAACAUCCUUCGGUCUGAGAUACUAAGAAAUCUGAAUGAUAACGAUGUGCUCAAGAAUCCCCUGGAUCUCAACUCCCCGGAAGAAAAUCAAGUCAGACAGGAGGCACCAAGACAGAACUCUUUCACAUCGGCAUUAUAUAGAUUCCAAAAAUAUCCGCGUGAUCCUAAAAAAACUGAGUGAGAAGAGGAGUAGAAUUAAAAUAUUACGUUAAGAUUCCUCACCAGACCAUAGAAGAGGAGAAAAAAUAAUCCUACUCUCCGAUAUAUAACUAGACUCAAAGUAGUUUUUCACUAGACUCGACUCAGCCAAGUUCGAUCAAUCAAGGGGGCUCCUAGGUCAGUACUGCUCUUAUACCAACUUGUCACGCCCAAGAUAUGACCCUAUCCUCAAUUUGGCACGAAGGCCUCGUCAAAAAUAGAAGCGCAUCUCGUCGUGUCACAAGAAUGGAUAUCGUUACAAGUACAUGUACUGAAAAGAAGAUAUAUAUAUAUAUAUNNNNNNNNNNNNNNNNNNNNNNNNNNNNNNNNNNNNNNNNNNNNNNNNNNNNNNNNNNNNNNNNNNNNNNNNNNNNNNNNNNNNNNNNNNNNNNNNNNNNNNNNNNNNNNNNNNNNNNNNNNNNNNNNNNNNNNNNNNNNNNNNNNNNNNNNNNNNNNNNNNNNNNNNNNNNNNNNNNNNNNNNNNNNNNNNNNNNNNNNNNNNNNNNNNNNNNNNNNNNNNNNNNNNNNNNNNNNNNNNNNNNNNNNNNNNNNNNNNNNNNNNNNNNNNNNNNNNNNNNNNNNNNNNNNNNNNNNNNNNNNNNNNNNNNNNNNNNNNNNNNNNNNNNNNNNNNNNNNNNNNNNNNNNNNNNNNNNNNNNNNNNNNNNNNNNNNNNNNNNNNNNNNNNNNNNNNNNNNNNNNNNNNNNNAAAGAUUUAACCCUGUAGGGGUGCUCCAACUAGUCCAUCACAAAUUACAACAAGCCGCAUAAAAAACCUCGAUCACGAAGCUCGCGAUCUCGUCGGACUCCUUAGUGGAAAACCUCAACUCUGAGAUUACUCAAAGCAUCACCGGAAUCCCGAUGCACAAGAUAUCUCGUCAAAGGUAAAACUAAUCCAGCAAGGCCACCCGACGUGUCGACGAUCCCGAUAGGAGCCGCGUAUCUCGUUCUCAGGACACGACGGAUAAGCGAAGCGUACGGUGGCCUGAUAGAAAUCUCCCGAGUUGCCCCGGGAUGGCCCCGCACGGUGCUCUGUUUUGGACCAGCACCAUCAGCACUGGCCCUGCAUGUAUUAUGUAGAAUUACUCCUCGGGUAGCGCUAACUCCCUAUGCAUUUCAAUUUAACAUAUUUAUUAUUAUGGGCAAAUAGUACCAAUGUUGGGCCUUGCGAGACCAGCUUUAAUCUAAAACGAAUUAUCAAGGGGGUCCCCAUAACAACCCCGACUGUGUUAGGAGCGCUCAAAUAUGGAACAUAACACCGGUAGCCGAAACUAAGGGGGCAAAGGUGGAACAAAACACAAGGCUAGAAAGGCCGAGCCUUCCACCUUUUACCAAGUAUAUAGGUGCAUUAAAUUAAAUAGCAUUAAUAAGGUGACAUGACAAGGAACCCAUGUUUUCACAUGGAAGCAACUACACCUGCAACUAGCAACGCUAACAACAUGGUUAAGCAAGCAGUAACAUAGCCAAUCAGUGGUUUGCUAGGUCGAACAGGUUGAAGGUUAUCAUGGNNNNNNNNNNNNNNNNNNNNNNNNNNNNNNNNNNNNNNNNNNNNNNNNNNNNNNNNNNNNNNNNNNNNNNNNNNNNNNNNNNNNNNNNNNNNNNNNNNNNNNNNNNNNNNNNNNNNNNNNNNNNNNNNNNNNNNNNNNNNNNNNNNNNNNNNNNNNNNNNNNNNNNNNNNNNNNNNNNNNNNNNNNNNNNNNNNNNNNNNNNNNNNNNNNNNNNNNNNNNNNNNNNNNNNNNNNNNNNNNNNNNNNNNNNNNNNNNNNNNNNNNNNNNNNNNNNNNNNNNNNNNNNNNNNNNNNNNNNNNNNNNNNNNNNNNNNNNNNNNNNNNNNNNNNNNNNNNNNNNNNNNNNNNNNNNNNNNNNNNNNNNNNNNNNNNNNNNNNNNNNNNNNNNNNNNNNNNNNNNNNNNNNNNNNNNNNNNNNNNNNNNNNNNNNNNNNUAUUUAGUUCUAUCCCGGUUAGAUACAUGCAAUAUUAAAUGUGGUUAAACAUAGCAAGAGGUGAAGAGAAAUUAAUCUACCUAUCUAGGCAUUUUAAAUGAGGUCGGAAAUGACAUAUAGCAUCUCCGAGACGACCUCACAUGUUAAUUAACAAUUCUGUCCAGAUCUGAACUAACACAUUUAAUUAGUUGUUAAACAGAAAAACAAAAAGGUUCACGUGAUUCUACGCGUCGAGACAAGAAAUUUACACAUAGAGAUCAUCUCCAACGGAGCUACGGAUCAAAAGAUACAAGCACCGCAAGAUAUGAAGGCAUGAAUGCAAUAUGUGUGCAACGACGGUCACGAGCACUUCAAAACAUACAACCAGCACGAGAAAAUGAAACUACACGAGAUUAUAAGCAUGUUUCAUGUAGGACACGAUCAAAUCGGAGCUACGUAUCAAAAGCUACGAGCAAAACAAGAAAUCACUACAAUCUGCCAAAAUCAGCCACAUAGCAUUUACUACACCCCACAACUACGAGCUACUCAACUCCAAUAUAAUCAACCAAGGCAUGACACGAAAGAGGGCAAGAAGCACUACAACAAACAACUAACGACAACUAGCAUGGCAGCAAGGAACACUAGGGAAAGAAGUCACAAAAUGGCAUCUCACACACUAUUUCAGACUUAGUGAAAAUAACACUUCAUGAAAGUGCAGUUUUCGAUCUGAAGCCAUAUUGACAGCAGCAAAACCAUAAGCUACAGGACUCCAGAUGGCAUGAAAAUUCACAGCAUGCUAGAGAAUUACAAUGUCUACAACUAACUCCAUUGCACCAACCACAAAAGAGCUAGAGAUCACAAGUUAGAAGCAAAACAAAACAGCAACAAAAUAUAACAGAUUUCAGACUUAGAAAUAUUUCAGCACCUCCAAAUCAGCACAAUUUCUAGCAACUUGAGAGCAAGAAAACCACACCUAUACAUGCAUUUAUAUUGCAACCAAAAUUACCAGGGGCUAGACUAAACAUCAAAGAACAACUUCCUAGUUGACAACUUAAUCAAACGAAGCACGGAAUAAAUCCUCCGAAAUAAACAAGAGCGCAACAUAGAAAAAUAUCGCGCGAACUAACUUGCUCAAAAGCUAAAACUAAUUGCACCAAAAAAUCCUAUGGAUUUUUCUAUCCUGAAAACAUACAAAACAUGUGGGGUUGCACAACAAUAAUUUCACCACACGUAAAUGCGAGAUAACGUCCUAAACACGGAAAAUAAUAUGGCGGCAAAUCCCUACACGCGUUUCUAGUCAUACGGCACGCUAAAUGACGUCAAACAAUUAUGCAAGUUGCAAAAACGAAUUCUACGCGAAAUUCUACACCAAAACCAUAUGCUACACGUCGCGAACCGAUUUACGGUUAAAUAGUUACGGGCAAAAUAAUCUACGUCUAAUUCCUGAAAUUUAAAUAAUUUCGAAAAAAAGGUAACUAAACUAUCGGGCCAACAGGGUGCGCAAAAUAACUAAGGCGCGCUAGGGGAGAGGAUUAGCUCACCUCGGGGUAAGCCACUCGGGCCGGUUGGAGUAGUGGGCCGAGCAGGGGAGGAGAAGGCCCAGGAGCGGGCGUUGGCGAGCGCUCUCGCUCGGCGUCGCAGCUCGGGCGGUCAACGCGGGGCUCGAGCCUUCCACGAUCCCGCCUGGAUCGGGAGGCCGGCCGGUUGCAACCGGCGGCGGGGCCACUGCAGGUGAUGGAAGGCGGCAGAUCGGCCGCGGGGCAGAUGGAUCCGGCCGGCGGCGGCUCCUAUCCCGGCGGCGGCUGAUGUACACGGGCAAGGGCACAACAGAUCGAGGUGGCUGGAGGCAGAUGACGGCGCGACCUCCGGCGAGCUUCUGUGGGCAGGAUGCGGCGGCCGGCGGGGAAGCAGGUGCUCCCUUGCGAGGGGCUCCGGCUUGCCGCGGGGGCUGGCCACCUCGGGCAGGAUCCAUGGGGAGGGACCUCGGGUCCGUGGCGAGGUCGGUUGCGGGGCGAUGCGGGCAGAAUGGGGCGGCGGCGGCUCGGGCCCGGGGGCUCCAGAUGGGCCUGCGCGGGCCCUGCAUGGGAGGAGAGAGGAGAGAGACUGGAGGUGGCGGCUGCUGGGUAGGUGGGGCGCGGAUCCCGAGGUAGGGCUAGGUUUUGCCUAAAAUGGAAGGGAGAGCCUCUAUUUAUAGGAAGGGGCUAGGUUAGAGGGUAUCUGGGGGGUUUUCGACCCUCCGAUCGCGAUCGUGCGGUCCGAUCGGAGAGGCGAGUUUGGGUUAGCUGUGUAGAGUGGCGUUGGCUAAGAUGAGAGGGAAGACGGGUGACCCGGCAACGUAUUUUAAAACACCGAUAAACGUCCGACGGUAGACCGAAUACGGUGCCGCUACGGUCGACCGUUCGGGUACCAGACGGACUCCGAUCGCGACGAAAUUCGACAGGUGGCCUAGCUAUAAAUAAUUACGACCGCAUGCCAAGUUUCACCCCGAACAGAGAAAGUUUUUUAACACACUUUUUUAAACAAGAUUUGAACGAUGUCGCGGGCGCGUGUGAGUGCGGUCGGACUCGGAACGAAUAACGACGAUAACCGGCCACUAACAACGGAUGCAAGUUUUGAAAACUGGCGGCAACGGAAUGCCGAUGCAAUGCAGAUGAUGUGAAUGAUGCGAUGAUGAUGCGACAAAUGAAAAUAGACAAACGACGAAAACGGAAUAGAAGGGGAAUCUUCUGGAACGUCAGCAUCGGGUUGUCACACAACCCCAAUCACUUCUCGCAUGCUGGCGCCCCAUACCUGACCCUCUUCGCGCGAUCCCGCAAGCACCGACAUAGUCAUGUCAUCUUUAGCAGGUUGAGCCUCGGCUGGCGAGAGAUUCCCUCCUAGCAGAGAUUCCUGACUUGACUAGGCGCGAUGCAGACCUCAACUUCGAGCACUAGCCGCUUGGACGGCCUCAUCUAGAGGAGAAAUGUUGACGAUGUUGACGUUCGGUCAAGCCGCAACACCAACGCCCCGAGUGGGCGCGAACUUGCCAACUCGGAACGACCGGGACACUGCCCGACACACGCCGCCAAGGCGGCGGCAACAAGUUCGGCCACCGAUCCUGCGGCAGCUUCGGUCCGACGCGGCGAGUCCACGGGGGAAUCAGCCGUAGGGGGCAAAUGAUCCCCAGGUCUGUCGGCAGCCACGGAAUGGGCUCCGCGUCGACGUGGGGAUCCAGCUAGGACGGCCGUGAAGGAGAUCUCGGAGUCGACUUGACGCCUGCUAGGUGGCGGGCUAGGCGAAACAUGCCAGCGACACUCGUCCGAAGGGGACCGACUAGGGGCACGGCGUCGGUUCCCUCGGGCACCAUGCCUGUGCCCAUCAUCUCGGCAUUGAUCACGACGGUGCGCCAGGUCAAACCUUGUUGUGUCUCUGCACUACGUCUGGGACAACAUGUUCUGCGAGAGCGGCCGACGUUGAGAGCCCCGACGGCGGCGCUGCUGCCUUUCAUGACCUUCAUCGUCGGCAUCAUCAUCUCGAUAGAGAAUGUGGCGGGCCGAGCCGCAUGAGGAGCGUGCUGGCGCGGCUGGGCAGCCAUCCAUGUAGCUGAGGUCGACCUCGUAAUGGAAGAUGCGAGGCCACUCGACAGGAGGUGGCAAAUCGGGAUACGGAGGCGUGUAAUCUUUGGUGAGCAGCAGAUGAACGAGGGCCCUGCCUUCCGCCCCCGUCGCCCCUCCUUCGCUGGGAAGACCUCCGGCGGCUGGUGACGCAUGCGGCCGUCGCCGGACCUCUCCAAGACGGUGAUGUCUACAGACUUGGGGAUGCCGUCAGGGUUCAAGGUCCAGACCCAAACGUACAUGAGAGCCGCGUUGUGAAGAAGCUAAGUCUGCCGCUCCUAGCGAUCCAUCUGGCAGGACUCCCGCAACAGCUUACGUACCACAUCGAGCCGUCAGGUGUGGUAAUUCAGCCCCACAAUGGCGAGGCGACAGUAGAACCACCAGUCUCGAAUGCGGCCCUCCGUGGCCGUCUCCCACGGGCGAAGGUCAAAGGUGAUGCCGCGGAUGGGCAGAAAGCCACGCUCAAGGGCGGUGUCACGCUGAAAUGGGUCGUUGAAGCGGAUGAGGAAGUCCUCCGGGAAGGCUGGGGAAACCUAGAAGACGUCGAUGGCCAGGCCGCAUUCCUGUUCCACCGCCUUGGCAACAAGCACAGAGUUGAUGUCGAUGCGCCUGUCACGUGCAACCGCCAUCAAGGCAGUGCGCCUCAGAUGGGUGGCGUCGCUCUCCAUCUCCGGGGUGCUAACAAUGACACAGGAGGAGCGCUCUGGAUGGCGUGAGGUGGCUCUGGGGACAUACUCCAUGUUCCGCAGAGGGGUCACGCGAGCGGUCGACGUGUCAACAGAAGUGGCAGGGCGAAGAGGAGGCCAGCAGUUGACAGCCCCAGAAGGCGGCGGUGGUUGAGCGGGGCGAGGGGGGCAGCGGUGGAGGUGGAGUAGUGGGCGUAGUCCUAGAGCGCAAGUGGCAAAAGCGGGCGAUGUGGCCAGGCUCCUAGCACUGGAUGCAACGAACUCUCCCAGUGCAGAUCUUAAGAAGGUGGCGCUCAGAGAGGCAACGGAAACAUUUACCAUCAAAUCGAGCCUUGAAGGCUGAAGAUUGCCGUUGAGCAGCGGCAGUGGAGCGCCUGCGCGGAUCCUCCCGAAACGUCAAGGAAGGAUUCCUCCAACAGUAUCUCGGACGCACCUCAUGCCAAGGCAGGGAGGUGGCCAUAGGGGCAGCACGAGCAGCAUGCGCGAUCGCAUUCAGGGGGGCAGGCGCGGCAGCCGAUGGUCGGCUCGCAGACGCGUUGAGCUGCAGCGCGGUAGGAGCGACGGUAAUGGAGUGGAGACGAGGGCGAGCCUGCGCUGCAUCAGCCGCGUCUGGCAGGGGCGCACCAGAGGCAACAUGCGAGCUAUCAGUGCGGAGCUCAAGCCGCGCCGGAUAAGAAGCUCCUGCCGCGAGCAGGAUGGCACCCUGAAUGCCCCCCAAAUGGGGAUAGGAGUCAUUUAACGCCGCGAUAUGGACCUCCGCCGCCUCGGGUUCCAUGCACUCCGCCUGAGAAGUGGCAGAGGCCGGCGAGAUUGAGAGAAGGUUCAACAAGGAGGCUUCCAGCGAGCAAGUGCGGGGGCUGGAGGGGUGGAUCUGGGCUCCGGCCGCCGUGAGGGCAGCGGAGAGGGGGAGAGGGCUCAUCUCGGGUCCGUCCAUUGGAUGUGUGUGUUGAUCGUCCCCUUUGGAUUGGACUUCAAGCCUCGCAAUUGGACUUCAAGCCUCGCAUGGGUUUUGCAUGUGAGUCAUGUGGUUUUGUCCCCCCCCCCCCGGUGCACUCCACUAAGCACUCUAGUCACUUCACCGAACGAUUUUUUGCUCUUGUCAAGAUGUCGGGCAAGGUUUUUCACUUACAUGAAGUUGUGAUGAAUGCUUCUCUUCUUGAUAAAGAUAUUUUAAUCAUUAUAAAUGCAGAUCAAUGUGUCGUAGUUGCCUUGAUUAAGAAAACAAGAAUUUAUCUUUGAAACGGAAGAAAAAAGUUAUAAUUACUGCAGCAAAACAUGAGGUUGCCAAGACGAUGAAAUAGUCAACAAGUUAAGUCUCCGUAACCCGGGCCGUUUGAUCUGUCACAUUUAGAGAUAUUUAUCCAAGGGUCUCAAAUGAAAGGACAUCCAACUUUCACUUAUACACGCAGACGUAUGCUCCCUUCUAGAUCACCAGAGGGCACCCCCCGCCCCCUUCGUCGUGCGAUGCGCUUCUUCGAUAAGGACAAAUUUAGUGUUUUUACCAACUUGACUCUAGUUUAAAAGAAAUUGAGAUCGUUCAUACAGCCUGAGUCAAUGGCGAUAGUAUAUAACUGUCUAUCGCCAAGACCCCUGUCGGUAGGGAUGCACGCUCUAUCGUAAAAAAAAAUAUGUAGGGUAACGUAGCAUAAAUUCAAAAUUUUCCUACGCAUAUUCAGAUCUUCCUAUGGAGAGACCAGCAACGAGAGAGGGGUAAGAGCAUCUUCAUACCUUUGAAGAUUGCUAAGCGGAAGUGUUGCUAGAACGUGGUUGAUGGAGUCGUACUCGCAGCGAUUCCGAUCUAGUGCCAAACUACGGCACCUCCGCGUUCAACACACGUGCAGCCCGGUGACGUCUCCCGCACCUUGACCCAGCAAGGAGGAGGGAGAGGCUGGGGAAGAACUCCAGCAACACAACGGCAUGGUGUCGAUGGAGAGACGAGGUCUCCCGGCAGGGCUUCGCCAAGCACCGGCACAGAGGAGGAGGAAGAAGGGCAGGGCUGCGCCGAGGGAGAGGGAGAAGUCUGUCUCCCAAGGGCCAAAACCCCUCUCUAUUUAUAGGAGGAGGGGGAGGGGGUGCGCCACCCCUAGGGUUCCCCCUAGGUGGUGCGACAGACACCAGAUGGUAAAGGGGGCGGCGGCUAGGGUGGGAGGGGGUGGCGCACCACCUGGUGGGCCUAAGGCCCACCUGCGCCUAGGGUUGCCCCCUCUCCCCACCACUUGCGCAUUGGGCUGGGUGUGGGAGGCGCACCAGCCCACCUAGGGGCUGGUUCCCUCCCGCACUAGGCCCAUCUAGCCUUUUGGGGUCAUUGCCCCCCUUCGGUGGACCCCCGGGGCCACCUCCGGUGGUCCUGGUGGUCCCCGUACGUUACCGGUGACGCCCGAAACACUUCCGGUGUCCAAAACCAUCCGUCCUAAUAGCAAUCUUUACCUCCGGACCAUUCCGGAGCUCCUCGUGAUGUCUGAGAUCUCAUCCGGGACUUCGAACAACUUUCGGUAACCUCGUAUAACAAUUCCCUAUAACCCUAGCGUCAUCGAAGCUUAAGUGUGUAGACCCUACGGGUUCGGGAGACAGGCAGACAUGACCGAGACGCCUCUCCGGCCAAUAACCAUCAGGGGGGUCUGUAUACCCAUGGUGGCUCCCACUUGCUCCACGAUGAUCUCAUCGGAUGAACCACGAUGUCAAGGAUUCAAUCAAUCCCGUAUACGAUUCCCUUUGUCUGUCGGUAUAGAACUUGCCCGAGAUUCGAUCGUCGGUAUACCUAUACCUUGUUCAAUCUCGUUACCGGUAAGUCUCUUUACUCGUUCCGUAGCACGUCAUCGUGUGACUAACUCCUUAGUCACAUUGAGCUCAUGAUGAUGUUCUACCGAGUGGGCCUAGAGAUACCUCUCCGUCACACGGAGUGACAAAUCCCGAUCUCGAUUCGUACCAACCCAACAGACACUUUCAGAGAUACCCGUAGUGCACCUUUAUAGUCACCCAGUUACGUUGUGACGUUUGAUACACCCAAAGCACUCCUACGGUAUCCGGGAGUUGCACAAUCUCACGGUCGAAGGAAAAGACACUUGACAUUAGAAAAGCUUUAGCAUACGAACAAUACGAUCUAGUGCUAUGCUUAGGAUUGGGUCUUGUCCAUCACAUCAUUCUCCAAUGAUGUGAUCCCGUCAUCAAUGACAUCUAAUGCCCAUGAUCAGAAAACCAUGAUCAUCUAUUGACUAACGAGCUAGCUAACUAGAGGCUUGCUAGGGACACAUUGUGAUCUAUUUAUUCACACAUGUAUUACUGUUUCCUGUUAAUACAAUUAUAGCAUGAACAAUAGACGAUUAUCAUGAACAAGGAAAUAUGAUAAUAACCAUUUUAUUAUUGCCUCUAGGGCAUAUUUCCAACAAAAUAUAAGUACCAAAUUUAGUACUUGUAACCAUCUAUUGCCGGACACCUCGAUGGUAGGAUUGCACAUGCUACCAACAACCUAAUUGGCAAUGGGAAACGCUUCCACCCGAUGCGUCGGCAUUAUCGUUCGGCCGGUCGCGCGCGGGCCGCGCGCCUCGCUGGCAGAUGCUUGCAACAUUUUUUCGUCAAAUUUCCUGCAACCGUGUAUUUUUAUUUUUUUUGAUACAAACGUUUUUCAUGCAACUUUUUUUCUCGUGUAAAUUUGUUACAUUUGUCUAGUAAAAAGCUGCAUAUACGUUUGGUUGCAACUCCAGUUCGUCGAAUUUUUCGUUACACUCGAUGUUUUUACUUUUGUUGCAACCGUGUUAAUUUUUGCUACAACCGGCAUCAUUUUUUGCUGCAACCAUUCACUAAAAAAGUUGCAUACACGUUCAUAUAGAUAUUUGUUACAACCGGCAUUUGACUUUUGCUACCACGCAUCAUCAGAUUCGUUUUGUUUCUACGAUCACGUAGAUAUUUUUUUGCUACAAAUUUUGUUUUUUGUUGCAAGCGUUGAAAAAAUUGCUGCAUCGCGUUGAAUUUUGCUGUAUUGGAAAAAAAUGUUGCAUGGAGAUCCAACGGCGCAGACGCGCGGGGGUUGGUGGAUCGGACGGCCCGCGCGCGGCAGGUCGAAAGUUUUGUCCGACGCGCCGGCGCAGUUCACUCCCCAUUGGCAAUAGGAUUGCGCUGCGUUAAUAUGAAUAAGUUGUCUAUCAUCAUGAGGGACCUUAAGGCAUAUACAACGCUAUACAGUGAGCUGUCUAUAAUGAUAGCCACGUAUGAUUUUAAAUGAGGUGGACGUGAAUGAAGGAGGAGAGAAAAUGAGUCGGUAGAAAAAUAAACAGUCCGCAGUCCUGAAAAACCGGUCGCUAUCGAUGCACUAUUACUAUUGUACGAGAACGUAUGCAACUGUAUGUCUGAUUUUUCCUCUACGCAAGGAUCCAGCAUCCCAAUCCUCACAGGCGGAGUAGUUUAGAUAUUGAUAUUACCGUCUAUAGGAAUUUUCCCUCACAGGCGAAGUAUUGUAUUUGCCCUCAAUGAUAGGCUGGUAUACCUAUCUUAACCCCGACCCGAAUUUAUUUAAACCAUGGUCAAAUCUCGCACAACCGUUCGUCGAAUCGACGUGCCCGGACUGCUGCCGUGCUACACUGCGUGCUAGUACCCAGACAUGGGAGUACAAUACAACGAUCAAUGAAGCAGCUGUCGCUUUCAGGGUCCCGGGCAGGGAAACAAGGGAUCGAAACAGCUUUCCUCGCCGGCUGCCACCCGAAAACCAGAGGCGCCUCCGCUACCAGCUGCAUAGCGACGCGUACUGUAGACCCCCGGACUUUGCAGUCCCGACCUGGGGGACUGGAUGUGCGCCAUCGGCGGAUGCAUCGGUGACCAGUAACCAGCGAUGGACCGCGCCGCUGGAUGCCCGUCGCCUGCCGGCAACGGUUUUGUCCGCACCCGAAGCCGCGGCCGGGCAGCGAGAAGGACGCCAGCCGAGCUCGGUCGACAUUUUCGGCGCGACGCACGAACCAAUCUCGGGAUCAAGCCGUGGAUUCGCGGAGCUAUCGCUAUGGCCCCACCCUGCAUUGUCGGGGCGAGAUACGGAUUGAUGUUUGGAGUUUUAGUCCUUUUUCGAAGGGCCCUUUCUCCAAGGCCUCGAGCCUUGAGCUUUUUGGUAGGUUGGUGAGGCUGGGAUGAAUCGGUCUGUCCCAGGGAUCACAGAGAUGGCACUGCUGAUCAUCCUUGACAAUUGAUCCGUGAUCAAUCGAGGAAGAAUGUCGUGAGCUAGCAGUCAUGGCUGAUCGCGAUGCACCACCAAGCGCCAGGUCGGGGGCGUAGCGCGGUAGCGGUCUACGCCGGUUCUUGGGCCGGAGUUGUAGAUGGAGUAAUGUUGUUGCUGGAGGUGUUUCUUUUCAUUCACGAAUAACGUUUUCUCCACUUGAUCUUAAAUAUGUGGAAUAGGACAAGUUCGUAAUGUGCUUCACAUCUUGCCAAACAAAAGGACACCUUGUACGGAGCCCGUCACAAGUACAGCACACAUCCUCAUCGCGGUAAAAUUUGGUGUUUUGUGAUCCUUUUUGAUAAGUAACUCGGGAUGUAAUCCAUGAAAGGAAAAAAGGGGUAUCUUGUAAAUUCAAGGUUGGUUUUUUUUGACAUUUUUCCUACCACCAGGCAGCUCGACGGUAGGGUUACAUAGCCUAUCAUGAAAGUCCCUGACGGCAAGAAACUAAUCUACGUCAGCAUGCUAAACGCGUGUCGUUUCCCUCUAUUCCACCCUACCGUCGCAGGUCCUCGCGGUAGCCUCUCUUACCCUACCACCAGGGACCCUGGCGGUAGGCUCUGGACAUUUAGCCGCGGGCUGGCCGCCCCACCCCCAUCUCCCCCACCCAGCUGCCCGAAGAACAUAGUUCUUCUCUCUCUCUCCCCUCCCUCAUCUUCGCAACACCCCCCCUCGGAUCUUCUUCGUUUCUUCAUCGUUUUUACGGAUCGAGAUGGCUCUGAAACGACAAAAGUAAGCUACUCCGAUCCCUCCAAUUAGGACCGGUCAAAUAGAUUUCGAAUCGUCGCAUUAUUUGCUUACCCCUAUUUUUGAACUAGAUUUAAAAAUUUUAUAUCCUAGGAUUGUUUCAGGUUGAUUCUAGAUGUUUUGUUGGUUGGGUAUGAACUCUAAUCACUAGUUGAAAUGGUAGUGUGAAGAUGAGCCCUAAUUCAUUUUUUUGUAUGAUGCAUGUUGGAGGACUUAACUCAUAUGUUUGUUUUGGUAUGAUGCAUGUUGAUAUGAUGUGAUGCAUGAUGUAUAGUGGAUGUUGUUUGAGGAAAUAUGCUUAAGACGAACCCUAGUUGAUGUUUUUUGUUUUUGAAAAAAGAUGGUAUGAUGCAUGUUGGAUGAUUAACUCUAAUGUUUGUUUUGCUAUGAUGCAUGUUGAUAUGAUNUAUAUAUAUAUAUAUACUUAUGCUUAUAAUGCUUAUGUUUAUACAAUUUUAUUUACAAGGCGACCUCUUCGGGACAACAUUGGUAUUUAGUAUACCAUGUUUGAGCCUACGUUCAACAAGGGUCAUUGUACCCGUUUCAUUGAGAAUGGAGUGCUAAUUACCAUGUUGUGUGAAGCAAAUCUUUCGAAUUGAUGAAAAUUUAUUUGGGUCUUCAUUUUGAUAGAUGCUCUCAUCACUCCGGAUGAGGGGUCACGGGACGAUCGUUAAGAUGCAGUAGGACAAGCGCUACGCUCUGUACUACAGGAGAGCCCGAUUCUUGGGUCUCAUCCUAAAGUUCAAGCGUAAGCCACCGACGCUCAUCCACUCAGCUCUCAUAGGUUUGGUGGACCCAUGGCGGCCAGUGACACAUAGUUUCCAUCUUCCAUGUUGCGAGAUGACGGCGACCCUCGAGGAUUGGGGGAUGAUUCGAUCCAACAGAUCGAGGGUUGUGCUCUCACUCGACGAGUGGAGAGGAAGAACUGGCAGGAUAGGGUUANNNNNNNNNNNNNNNNNNNNNNNNNNNNNNNNNNNNNNNNNNNNNNNNNNNNNNNNNNNNNNNNNNNNNNNNNNNNNNNNNNNNNNNNNNNNNNNNNNNNNNNNNNNNNNNNNNNNNNNNNNNNNNNNNNNNNNNAGGAUAGGGUUAGCGCCCUCAUCGGGGAUUGCCCCCCUCAUUAAGAGUAGCCGGACAUCCCGCGUACCGCUGCCUUGGCUCCUGAAGCACCGGAGCAAAUGCCGAGAAGAUGAUGAUCCCCGGACGAUGGAGCAGUACGUGAGGGCCUACCUGUGGUUUCUUCUCGUAGAGGUCGUGUUUCCAAACUACUCAGGGGAUGAUGCCCUAUGGAUGUUUCUCGACUUCCUAAGGGACUGGGAUGCUGGGUACAGCUGGGGGUCUGCCCGCGUCGCCUACCUAUAUAUAAUGUCUAAGAUGCGGCUCUCUCCUUAUUUGGGGGUGAGGCCUCAAAAGGGGANNNNNNNNNNNNNNNNNNNNNNNNNNNNNNNNNNNNNNNNNNNNNNNNNNNNNNNNNNNNNNNNNNNNNNNNNNNNNNNNNNNNNNNNNNNNNNNNNNNNNNNNNNNNNNNNNNNNNNNNNNNNNNNNNNNNNNNNNNNAGGCCUCAAAAGGGGAAAGGGGCGCGUCUAAGCAUUUUGCAAGAACGGUAAACAUUGCAAUCCAUACAAGAGGGAUGAGUAUACGAUUUGGCUUACCCUCGCCACAAAUUAGGUUACAAGAUCCACACAACAUUUAUUCAAAUCAUUCAGAAGGCAGGGUCCGACUACGGACAAGAUAAACAACAAAAGCAAUGUUCUUGCCUCGCUAGGCCCACGAUCACGACCAAAUACGUCUAGUCAUCGGGGUACAUCACGUACAUCCGGCUACUGUCCUCGUCAAACUCCCACUUCAACUGGUUGUCCUCGUAAGCAUCUGCUUCUGCGUUACCUGUACCUGUGGGGUGGUUGUAGUAAUCCGUGAGCCACAAGGAAUAGCAAUCUCAUGACCAUGUCAUCGAAUCUAACUAACUUGUUGGGUAAGGAUGGGGUAUGUGUUUGAGUUUGCAGCAACACUAAGCAUUUAUGGUGGCUAACUUAUGUUGAACAUGAAUUAAAGGUAUAGUGGUCUACGCAUGACGUUCGUUAACUAAGAAUAAUCACUAAGUGAUCCUGAACACCUACUUACGUCAGUCAUAACCCCACCGUGUUCUCGAUCAGAGAAGGAACUCUGAAGGAAACAGUCACGGUUACGCACACAGUUGGCAGGUUUUAAUCAAAUUAGUUUAAGUUGUCCAGAACCGUAUGUUAACAAAGUUUCCAUGUUUGCCACAUAACCGCGGGCACGACUUUCAAAAAAGAAUUUACCCUGCAGGGGUGCUCCAACUAAUCCAUCACAAAUUAUCACAGGCCACAUAGAAAUCCUCGAUCACGAAACUCGCGAUCUCGUCGGAUUCCUUAAUAGGAAAACCUCAACUCUGAGGAAAAACCCAAAGUCUCACCGGAAUCCCAAUGCACAAGAUACAUCGUUAAGGUAAGACAAGUCCAGCAAGACCACCCGACAUGGGGACGACCCCGAUAAGAGCCGCGUAUCUCAAUCUCAGGACACGUCGGAUAAGCACAACGUACGAUGGCCUGAUAGACAUCUCCCGGGUUGCCCUGGGUUUGCCCCGCAAACGGCUCGAGGUUGGACCAACACUCAUGAGGAGCACUGGCCCGGGGGUUGGUUAAGUUUCCUCGGGGUAGCUAUUCCCUAUGCUUUAAUUAUUAAGUUGUUUGCAAAUUAACACCAAAGUUGGGUCUUGCCAGACAAGCCUUAGACUAAACAAUUUACCAAGGGGGUCCCCAUAACAACCCCGAACGUUUUAGGAGCGCUCACUUAUGGAAUAAAAGAACUGUUAGUCGAAACUAAGGCGACAAAAGUGAAACAAAUCACCUAGCAAAAGGCCAGAUCUUCCGCCUUUUACCAAGUAUAUAGNNNCAUUAAUUAAAUAGCAUUUAAUAUAAGAUGAUAAUAAAAUUCCCAUGUUAUCACAUGGACCAGCUUGCACCUGCAACUACCAAUUCUAUCAAGUGGUUGUGUGUAACGACUAAGAUGCGGCCCUUUCCUAUUUUGGGGGCGAGACUUCAAAAGGGAAAGGGGCGCAUCUAAACGUUUCGCAAGCGUGAUAAUCAUAACAUUACAUAACUGAAAGAGUGGCAAGUAGGGCAUACACUUGCCAUCUGAUAAGAGUAUAGCAUUAAGCUUACAACCACACAUUAUUCAGAGCAUAGUUUAGUCCCUCUACGGAGAACAUGAAACAAGUAAAACUAUGACAUCCCGCAUGCUAGCCCCACGAUCACGACCACGGCCUCAGUCCUCUGGAUAGUUCAUGUACAGUAGACCGGAAUCCUCAUCGAACUCCCACGUCAGCUGACUGUCAUCAGGAUCUCCUGCGCCGGGCAUACCUGUACCUGUUGGUGUUUGUAGUAAUCUGUGAGCCACGGGGACUCAUCAAUCGAAUGAUCUUGGUAUCGAAUCUAGCCAAGUUAUUGGGUGAGGAAGGAUAGUGAAUGGGUUUGCAGCAACCUAAGCAUAUAUGGUGGCUACCUUACGAUGAUCAGAGUAAUCAUAUGGUGGUCUACGCGAGCGAUCGAAGACUAGGUUGAUCACUAAGUGAUCCUAAACACCUACUUACGUCAGACAUAACCCCACUACGUUCUCGAUCAGAGAACGAUCUCUGAAAGAGACAGUCACGGUUACGCACACAGUUGGCAGUUUUAUCAGAGUUACUUCAGGUUGUCUAGAACCGGAUGUUAACAAAAUAUCCAUAUUUGCCACAUAACCGCGGGCACGACUUCCCGAAAGAUUUAACCCUGCAGGGGUGCUUCAACUAGUCCAUCACAAACUGCCACAGGCCCCAAAGUAAUCCUCGAUCACGAAACUUGUGAUAUCGUUGAAUUCCUUAGAGGAAAACAUCAACUUUGAGGAGACCCAAAGUUUCACCGGAAUCCCAAUGCGCAAGAUAUAUCGCUAAGAUAAGACAGAUCUGGCAAGAUCUCCCGACGUGUUGACGAACCCGAUAGGAGCCGCGUAUCUCGUUCUCAGGACACGGCGGAUUGUCCAAACUUCCGGUAGGCCAGUCACAGAGUUGCCCCUGGUAGCCACCGGCGGUUGACAGGUUGGACCAACACUCGUGAGGAGCACUGGCCCAGGUUGUUGAUUAAUUCCUUAGGGUAGCUAUUCCCUAUGAAAAUAAUUAUUAGGUUAUUAGCAAAUUGAAAUCAAUGUUGGGUCCUGACAGACAAGCCUUAACACUACACAAUUUAUCAAGGGGGUCCCCAUAACAACCCCGAACGUGGUAGGAGCACUCAGUUAUGGAAUCAAACAUCAGUAACCGAAACUAAGGCGGCAACAACAGAACAAAUCACCCGACAAAUGGCUAGGCCUUCCGUUAUUUACCAAGUAUAUAGGUGCAUUAAUUAAAUAACAGUUUAAACAUAAUGAUAUCAAAAUACCCAUGUUGUCACAUGGGACAGCUGGCACCUGCAACUAGCAAAGCUAUCCGUUAGGGGUUGAGCAAGCCUACUUAGCCAGACAAUAUUUGCUAGGACAGGGAAGUGUUUGGGGUUCAUGGCAAAGACAUGUAGCAUCUAUAUCAAGUGGUAGGCAGCGAGCAUGUAACGAAGGAAACGUGAUUCUAAGCAUAACAAAGCUAGAAACGGUGUCAAGGACACGGUCAUCUUGCAUGUGGUUUCUUCGGUCUGGAACUGCUUUUGUUCUUCCUGGACGAACUCUCCGGACUCCUCGUACUCGUUUCCGGCCCCGGUAACUACCCAAAAGAAACAACAUCUAAUAAACACCAGCAAAAAAUGAUGCAAUAGACAACAAUAUGCAUGAAUGUACUCCGCCAAACAAGUACAUGAAAACAGCCCUACAUCGAUAAAUCUAUUGCCACCUCAUCACAAGGGGAUUUUUACUGAGAUGCCCAAAACCAGAAAUUAACAACACCAUUGGAUUCACUGGGAUUUUCUACCCCAAAUCCAUAUAUCACACUACCACUUUUGCAUCUAGAAAAACAUCACAAGCAGGAAAAGGAAUCUGACAUAGAAUCAACUACAACAUUAAUUCAAGAACAUGGACUGUUCUUGGGCCAGCCCAAAUUGGCAUAUGCCAGAAUAGGCAAAUUCCUUAUUAGGAAUUAUCCCAAAGAUGGAAUCUAUCACCUCAACAGAAAUAAUAAAGGGGAAAAAUAAAAAUAAAAACACUAAAUCUAACAGCCAUGGCCCACUGGUCAGUGACACAAAACAACAUAUUAACAUUGAAAAACUAAAAGGGAGUGGUGGAGUUAGAACCCACCACCUCUCUAUGCAUCACAGAGGCAAGCACCACUUUGCUAUGCAAAGCUAGUUACUCUAAGAGGGGAGAGAAAAAAAAAACAAAACUUUAAAAGGGCUAGAACCCUGGACCUCUUGCAUUGUGUGCGACUCGGUUGCCACUAGGUUAUACUACGACUACUGACCCAACAGAGCUAACACUUGAGGUAACCUAUAAAUGCAACUACUACAAGAAGGGAAAAACCUCAGGUAAAUAAAAAGGUGGGGGUCUGGGAAUUUAACCCCCGACCUCGUGGUUGUGCACAAGCUAGCAACCAUUACUUAGAGGUUUCCAUUCUCGGGGGAAGCUAGCUUCUACAGCGUAGAGGGACGAUGAUGCUCAAUCCGAACCAAGCUUUGCCUUGGACAUGGCGGUCACGAGAACGAAGCAGGGGCACUGUGGCAGGCGAGGCACGAUAGGGCGGCGAUGCAGCAGUGGAGAGCAGGCUGGCUAACGCGUGCGGGUUGCGGGCGUGCGCUGGAACGGGAGCUCCGUGGGUUCACAGCAAAACAACCGCCGCUUCCUUUACAGAAGAUCUUCUUCAGAGAAGAGAACGGGAGCGCGGCGAGCACAACGAUGUCACGGCUUACAGAAGAUCUACGCUUACGGAUGGCUAGCGACGCGACGGAGAGGGGGAAGGAAGAGGGGGGUCAUACCACCUCACCUAGGGCAUGAAAACGAUGUGGAACGAGGCUUCAGAAGGCGACGGCGAGCUGCUGAAGUCUGGCGCGCAUCCGAACCGGUUCUGCCUGAAGAAGAAGAGGAAGCAGACGACGUCGAGGCGACUCCUUGGGACCCCGCGAGCCGUCGAAGACGGAGAGGAGCACGGGGAGGAUCCCUUCCCGUGCACCAGAGGGCGAGGGAGCGACGGAGAUCAACUCCGGGCCCGAGCUGCUGCUCGGCUGGAGCACGGCGGACGCGGCGACGGCAUGGCGCGAAGCUAUCUUACCUAGCGGCGGCGAGGCGAGGUGGAGGGAGAAAUGGGUCUAGGGAAACUAGGGCAACGUGGGGGACACAACUUAUAGGUGGCUCGGGCUCUCUCCGACCGUCAAAUCGACCGGACGGCUACGUGGCUCCCCUGGAUGGCUGCCGUAUAGAGGAGCACGAAGACUCCACUCAGGGGCUGGCUGGGCUGCGCUGCUAGCUGGGCCUGGGGGAAGAGGGAGCCCAACACACCUCUCUCUCUGGAAAACAGCAAAGGGGGUUCAUGUUUUAAACAAAUGCACAACAAAUAGCUCACAAAGGAAAACAAGAAAUGGUCCUUAGUAAGAAGAAAAUAUCUUUGGUGUACUAAAACCAUGCCACUAAUUAUAAAAAUAAGUAGGCAUUUUUGGGAGAGCAAAUAAUUUCCUUUUCUUUAACAUGGGGCUUUGUUUUUUAAUUAAAACCAAAAUGAAAAGGACCUCAAAUAGAAGAGUGUUGCCGCCUACAAUUAUUUAAAUAGUUUUUCAAAGAUGUUGGACAUUUUUAAUGGCUAAAACAGAAACUUAAAUUCUGCCUCAAGUUAGAAAGGAGAGGGGGGGUUUAUUUGGACCUUGGUGCAACUAUGAUUUUGAAGGUUCCUUGUUGCACCCACACCACACUCCAUAAUAACAUCCAAGACACAUAAAACCACAUCACCAAGCUGGCACAACACCCAGAACAAGACUAAGCAAAAAGGAAGAUGCAAGAUAUGCAUGAGAAGCACAUGAAAUGAUAACCCCAACACCACCUCCAUAGCCCCAAAUGGAAAAGCUUACAAAAGGGGAAAGAAAGCACUUGGGCCGUCACAACUCUCCCACACUAUAAGAGGAUCUCGAUCCGAGAUCUAGGACUGGAAGAACUCUGGAAAUUCGGAACGAAGGUGAUCCUCACGCUCCCAAGUGGCCUCUUUGUCGGAAUGAUGUGACCAUUGCACCUUGAGAAACUUGAAUGACUUAUUGCAGGUCUUGAGCUCAGUCGCCUCAAGAACUGCAACUGGAUGCUCACGGUAGGAUAGGUUGGGUUGAAGGUCGAUAUCCUAAAGAUCAACUGUGCGCUCGGGAGUCUUGAAGCAUCUUCGGAGCUGAGAGACACGAAACACGUCAUGCACAUUUGAGAAGUUUGAAGGGAGCUCUAAUUGAUAAGCGAGGUCGCCUCUCUUGCCAAUAAUUCUGAAAGGCCCAACAAAACAAGGAGCAAGCUCUCCUUUGAUGCCGAAACAUUGCGUGCCCUUCAUGGGAGACACUUUAAGAUAGAGAAAAUCGCCGAGUUGAUAAGCCAUGUCAUGAUGCUUGCUAUCGUAGUAGCUCUUCUGAUGGGACUACGCUGCUUUGAGAUUAUCCCGAAUGACAUGACACAUUUCUUCUGCUUCAGCAAUCAUGUCAUUCCCAAGAAUCUGACGCUCACCAGUCUCUGACCAAUUGAGCGGGGUACGACACUUCCUGCCAUAAAGAAUCUCGAACGGAGCUUUGCCUGAACUCGCCUGAUAGCUGUUGUUAUAUGAAAACUCAGCAAAAGGUAGAUAGUAUUCCCACUUCAUGCCAAAGGAAAUGACACAGGCUCUUAGCAUAUCCUCGAGGACCUGAUUGACUCUCUCAACUUGCCCACUAGUCUGAGGACGGAAGGUUGUACUGAAUCAAAUCUUAGUACCCAUCGCAGACUAAAAUGAAUCCCAAAACUUGGAAGUAAAGAUGCUUCCUCGAUCCUAAGAAAUUAGCAUUGGAACACCAUGCAAUGAGACUACCCUUGACGUAUACAGCUCCGCAGGCUGAGCUGCCAAGAUAGACCCCUUGACCGGAAGGAAAUGAGCGACUUUGCUCAACUUGUCGAUGACGACAAAGAUGGCAUCGUUACCUUUCUUGGACUUCGGAAACCCGGUGACGAAAUCCAUCUCAACAUGGUCGAAUUUCCACUCGGGAAUGGGCAAGGGAUGCAAAAGACCUGAUGGACGUUGAUGCUCUGCUUUCACUCUUCGACAUACAUAACAUUCAUUUACGAACUGAGGAAUCUCACGCUUCAUGCGAGUCCACCAGAAGGUCUGUUUCAGAUCCUGAUACAUCUUGGAACUUCCUGUAUGUAUCGAGAGAAGAGAGUUAUGAGCUUCUUCCAUGAUAACCUUUCUGAGAUCCCCUUUCGGAACGACAAGGCGAUCCUUAAAGAACAAUGUAUCUCUGGCAUCCACACCGAAGCACUUAUAUUUGGGAACUCCCUUUGCCAAGCCAAUCUUAACUUUCUUCACCAUAGCAUCAAGAAGUUGAGCUUGUCGGACUUGGUCUUCCAAGGUCGGAGAAAUCUGAAGAUUAGCAAGAAAUCCCUGAGGUACUAACUGAAGGUUGAGCUUUCUAAAAGAAUCACAAAGAUCAGGGUGGAGAGGCUUCAGAAUAAGACUGUUGUAGUAAGCCUUUCUGCUCAAAGCAUCUGCAACGACAUUAGCUUUGCCUGGAGUGUACUCAAGGCUCGGAUUAAAAUCUUGGAGCAUUUCCACCCAACGAGUUUGCCGAAGAUUAAGGUUAGGCUGGGUGAAGAUGUAUUUAAGACUCUUGUGAUCGGUGAACACUUCAACCUUUCUUUCCAACAAGAGGUGUCUCCAAGUCAUCAGAGCAUGUACCACUGCCGCCAACUCAAGAUCAUGAGUGGGGUAAUUCUUCUCUCUUGGCUUCAACUGUCUCGAGGUAUAAGCUACCACUUUCUUUUCUUGCAUCUGAACUGCACCAAGACCUUGAAGAGAGGCAUCGCAGAACACUUGUUAAGGUUUGGAAUCAUGAGGAGGAACCAAGACUGGAGUAGAAGUGAGCUUCUCUUUGAGUGUGUUGAAAGCCAACUGACACUCUGGAGACCAGACAUACUUCACACCCUUCUGAAGAAGACUUGAGAGAGGCUUAGCAAUCUUGGAGAAAUUCUCAACGAAUCUUCUGCAAUAGCUUGCAAGCCUGAGAAAGCUUCGAAGUUGCUUCACAUUCUGCGGAGGUUCCCACUCAACAAUGGCCUGCACCUUCAAUGGAUCAACUUUGAUGCCCUCGGCAGAGAUGAUGUUCCGAAGGUACACAACUUCCUUCAACCAGAACUCACAUUUGGAAAACUUAGCAUAAAACUUAUGCUCUCUUAGCUUAUCAAGCACAAGCCUGAGAUGUUCCUCAUGCUCUUCCUCAGUUUUCGAAAAGACCAUAAUAUCAUCAAGGUACAACAAGACGAAUUCAUUCUUGAAUGGGAAGAAGAUAUAAUUCAUCAUGCGAUAGAAGGUCGGUGGAGCAUUGGCCAGACCGAAAGACAUCACCGUGUACUCAUACGAGCCAAAGCUUGUUCUGAAAGUAGUCAUCGAAAUGUCCUCUUCGCGAAUGCGAAUCUGAUGAUAACCCAUCCUGAGAUCAAGCUUCGAGAAGAUCUUAGCCCCUUUCAAUUGGUCAAACAGCUCAUUGAUGUCGGGAAGUGGAUACUUGUUUUUUGAUCAUCUUCUUAUUCAAUGGAUGGUAAUCGACACAGAGUCGUUCCGUGCCAUCCUUCUUCUUGACGAAAAGCACUGCACAACCCCAAGGGGAUGAGCUUGGUCUGAUCAGACCCAGCCGCUAUUGCUCAUCAAGUUGUUUCUUCAGCUGCUUCAGCUCUUCUGGACCUAGUUUGUACGGCCGCUUACACACAGGCUCAGUACCAGGUUCAAGUUCAGUUACGAACUCCACUGCUCGGUGCGGAGGCAUUCCUGGCAGUUCUUCUGGAAAAACAUCUUCAUACUCUCAGACCACCGGGACUUUAGAAAUUGGAGAGAUCUCACUCUUCUCAUUCAAGGAAAACAGACGGACCGUGUCAUCACGCUCUGCGAAGAUAAUCACGUCCUCUAGAGAAUGAGUUAGCUUCACUUCUUUAGCUUCACAAUCAAUAGACGCCUUGUUCAUAGCCAACCAAUCCAUACCCAGGAUCAAAUCAAUAUCAGAGUUGCCAAGGACAAUAGGAGAAGCCAGAAUGGCAUAAUUACCCAUCUUGACAACGACAUCAGGACCUAUGAAGCGAGAAUUCAUUUGCAACCCCGGUGAAACCACAGUUAAGGAUCUAGGAAACUCUUCACAACACAGCUCAUGCUUUGCAACAAAAGGCCUUGAAAUGAAUGAAUGCGAUGCACCAGAAUCAAAUAAAACCUUUGCAGGAAAAUCAUUAACUAGGAGAUUACCCAUAAUCACGUUUGUGGAGUUCUCCGCUUCAGCUGCAUUCACCAUAUUCACUCUUGCAUACUUGGGAUUGAACUUCACCAUAGCAUUGCUUGGAGGCUUCCCUAGAGGAGGGGGUGGAAGACGCACCUGAGAGGUACACUUGUUGGAGUAGUGACCCUUCUGCCCACACUUGUGAAAAGUAACAUCUGACAGCGGACGGAACUGCACCUCAGGAUUCCCUUGCUUCUGCUGCUGAAACCUCUCCUGGAAAGGUGGGAUGAGUGGGUGGGAAGAACCACGACCACCUAACUGCUUGAACUGCUGAGUCUGCCGAGGAGGAGGAGACAUCCAAUAUUUCUGUUGCUUCUGGACCACCUGAGUUGAGGGCGAUGAGCUGGAAUCUCUGAAAUGCUUCCUCGAAUUCUCCACUCUGAGCAAAGCUGCCUCAGCCCUGAGAGCCAAGUUAUAGAACUUAUCAAACUCAUCGGGAUCGUGCAAGGCAAGGGCCAGCUGCAAGUCCUCUCCCAGACCACCUCUGAACUGAUAGAUCUUGCUCUUCUGAUCUGGAACUUCUCACACAUCUCUUCCACAAAGUUAGUUGGAAUAUAGUGAGACCUGAAAUCUCUGUAGAAAUCGUCCCAACUGAUCAUUCUACCUCCCGUGGAGUCCUUCAACUGCUGCCACCAAACUACUGCCUGCCCCUUGAGAUGAAAUGUUGCAAACUUGACGAAGUCCCCUGAAUGGACAUUGCUGCACUCAAAGUGUUUGACCAUGUCCCGAAUCUAGUCCUCAGUGUCGAACGGCUGGUCACAAGACGUGAAGGACCUCGGCUAGUUCACCAGGAAUUGAUUCAGAGAUGCAAACUGAUGAGCACCAGGGUUGAAAUUGCCCUGCUGCUGAUUGCUCCUCUCUUCCAACAGCUGAAUUAACAUCUGGGUGUUAGAAUUUGUUGCAGCCAUCACCGCUUGCCAAGCCUCUGCAGGAGGUGGUGGCGGAGCAUCAUCAUCAUCGCGACCCGGAUUCUGGCGAGUUGGUGGAGACAUCCUGAAGACGGACAACGCAUUAGGCCGGAGAUUAACAUUCAAGGUAAAGCUGAAUCAAUAGACAUAAAUAUCCGAACAAGAAUACUUAGCAAUUGCAUUCGAACAAUAAUUAGUAAGAAUGCUUCCUCAAAGUGACUACCGACAACAUCUGAUUAAAGGCCACUCGAAAACCAAGUAUGAGCUAGGAUUGCUCGGAACAAACGUAUGACAGAGAUUCCAUUCGAUAUCUUCGUGGAUAUGAUCGCACGGGCUCGAAUUUACUGUAGCCAUCCUGUGCAAGGCAGUGCACACGACUUACGAAGCGUCCCCGAGUUGUAGCAAGCUACAAGGACUCUUUAAGACACAACGAGAACCGCUGUAAGACGACCUGAACAAGCGUACCCACUGAAUGUCGAAUCCCAUCCUCACAUCAUGCAUCUGUAGGAAGAUUGCCCUAUAAGUCACUACUUGAUAUCCCACCUAUGAAUUCCCAAAAUAUCUGUCAUGCAAUCUGGUCCACGGAUACAAGGAGUAAUAUGUCACACAACUCCUAUAUUAACCCGUCCAGUGUAUCACAUCCAUCAACACAUAACCAGAAUCUCGAACUUCAUCUAACACAGACCCUCGUAAUCACAACGAUACAAAGUGUGGCGUUACAUCCGGAACUCUCUGCGCCAGUACUGGGGAAGCCGGACUCCUCUCGUCACUACUAGUAUUGAAGCAAUUACGAACAUCCUCCGUCCUGAGAUACCAAGAAGUCUGAAUGAUGGCGAUGUGCACAAGAAUCCCCUGGAGCUCAACUCCCCGGCAGAAAUCAAGUCAGACAGGAGGCACCAAGACAGGACUCCGUCACAUCGAUAUCAUAUAGAUUUCAAAAUAUCCGUGUGAUCCUAAAUUUUUUUUGAGCGAGAAGAAGAGUAGAAUUAAGAUUUCCUAAGUUGAUAACCUUACCAGAGAAAAGAAGAGGAGAAAAAAGAAACCUACUCUCCAAUAUAACUAAGACUCAAAUAGUUUUUACUAGACUCGACUCGGCCAAGUUCGAUCACACAAAGGCUCUUAUGGUCGCAAGGCUCUGAUUACCAACUUGUAACGACUAAGAUGCGACCCUUUCCUAUUUUGGGGGCGAGGCCUCAAAAGGGAAAGGGGCGCAUCUAAACGUUUUGCAAGCGAGAUAAUCAUAACAUUACAUAACUGAAAGAGUGACAAGUAGGGCAUACACUUGCCAUCUGAUAAGAGUAUAUCAUUAAGCUUACAAACACACAUUAUUCAGAGCAUAGUUUAGUACCGCUACGGACAACAUGAAACAAGUAAAACUAUGACAUCCCGCAUGCUAGCCCCACGAUCACGACCACGGCCUCAGUCCUCCGGAUAGUUCACGUACAGUCGACCAGAGUCCUCACCGAACUACCACUUCAGCUGGCAGUCAUCAGGAUCUCCUGCGUCGGGCGUACCUGUACCUGUUGGUGUUUGUAGUAAUCUGUGAGCCACAGGGACUCAUCAAUCGAAUGACCUUGGUAUCGAAUCUAGCCAAGUUAUUGGGUGAGGAAGGAUAGUGAAUGGGUUUGCAGCAACCUAAGCAUAUAUGGUGGCUACCUUACGAUGAUCAGAGUAAUCAUAUGCUGGUCUACGCGAGCGAUCGAAGACUAGGUUGAUCACUAAGUGAUCCUGAACACCUACUUACGUCAGGCAUAACCCCAGCGUGUUCUCGAUGAGAGAACGAUCUCUGAAAGAGACAAUCACGGUUACGCACAUAGUUGGCAGUUUUAUUAGAGUUACUUCAAGUUGUCUAGAACCGGAUGUUAACAAAAUAUCCAUAUUUGCCAAAAGAUUUAACCCUGUAGGGGUGCUCCAACUAGUCCAUCACAAACUGCCACAGGCCGCAAAGUAAUCCUCUAUCACGAAACUUGUGAUCUCGUCGGAUUCCUUAGAGGAAAACCUCAACUUUGAGGAGACCCAAAGUUUCACCGGAAUCCCAUUGCGCAAGAUAUAUCGCUAAGGUAAGACAGAUCUGGGAAGACCUCCCGACGUGUCGACGAACCCGAUAAGAGCCGCGUAUCUCGUUCUCAGGACACGACGGAUUGUCCAAACUUCCGGUAGGCCAGUCACAGAGUUGCCCCUGGUAGCCACCGACGGUUGAUAGGUUGGACCAACACUCAUGAGGAGCACUUGCCCGGGUUGUUGAUUAAUUCCUCGGGGUAGCUAUUCCCUAUGCAAAUUAUUAUUAGGUUAUUAGAAGAUUAAAACCAAUGUUGGGUCCUACCAGACAAGCCUUAACACUACAUGAUUUAUCAAGGGGGUCCCCAUAACAACCCCGAACAUGUUAGGAGCGCUCAGUUAUGGAAUCAAACAUCGGUAACCAAAAGUAAGGCGACAACAACGGAACAAAUCACCCGACAAAAGGCUAGGACUUUUGUUAUUUACCAAGUAUAUAUGUGCAUUAAUUAAAUAGCAGUUUAAAUAUAAUGAUAUCAAAAUACCCAUGUUGUCACAUGGGAUAGCUGGCACCUGCAACUAGCAAAGCUAUCGGUUAGGGGUUGAGCAAGCCUACUUAGCCAGACAAUAUUUGCUAGGACAGGGAAGUGUUUGGGGUUCAUGGCAAAGAGAGGUAGCAUUUAUAUCAAGUGGUAGGCAGUGAGCAUGUAACAAAGGAAACGUGAUUCUAAGAAUGACAAAGCUACAAACGGUAUCAAGGUCACGGUCAUCUUGCCUGUGGUUUCUUCAGACUGGAACUGCUCUUGUUCUUCCUGCACGAACUCUCCGGACUCCUCGUACUCGUUUCCGGCCCCGGUAACUACCCAAAAGAAACAACAUCUAAUAAACACCAGCAACAAAUGAUGCAACAGACAACAAUAUGCAUGAAUGCACUCCGCCAAACAAGUACAUGAAAAUAGCCCUACAUCAUAAAUCUAUUGCCACCUCACCACAAGGGGAUUUUUACUGAGAUGCCCAAAACCAGAAAUGAACAACACCAUUGGAUUCACUGGUAUUUUCUAUCCCAAAUCCAUAUAUCACACUGCCACUUUUGCAUCUAGAAAAACAUCACAAACAGGGAAAGGAAUCUGACAUAGAAUCAACUACAACAUUAAUUCAAGAAGAGGGACUGUUCUUGGGCCAACCCAAAUUGGCAUAUGCCAGAAUAGGCAAAUUCCUUAUUAAGAAUUAUUCCAAAGAUGAAAUCUAUCACCUCAACAGAAGUAAUAAAGGGAAAAAAUUAAAAAUAAAAACACUAAAUCUAAGAGCCAGGGCCCACUAGUGAGUGACACAAAACAACAUAUUAACAGAGAAAAACUAAAAGGAAGUGGAGGAGUUCGUACCCACCACCUCUGUGUGCAUCACAGAGGCAAGCACCACUUUGCUAUGCANNNNNNNNNNNNNNNNNNNNNNNNNNNNNNNNNNNNNNNNNNNNNNNNNNNNNNNNNNNNNNNNNNNNNNNNNNNNNNNNNNNNNNNNNNNNNNNNNNNNNNNNNNNNNNNNNNNNNNNNNNNNNNNNNNNNNNNNNNNNNNNNNNNNNNNNNNNNNNNNNNNNNNNNNNNNNNNNNNNNNNNNNNNNNNNNNNNNNNNNNNNNNNNNNNNNNNNNNNNNNNNNNNNNNNNNNNNNNNNNNNNNNNNNNNNNNNNNNNNNNNNNNNNNNNNNNNNNNNNNNNNNNNNNNNNNNNNNNNNNNNNNCUCUACAGAGAGAGAAAAAACCCAAACUUCAAAAGGGCUCGAACCGUGGACCUCUUACACUGUGCGCGACUUGGUUGCCACUAGGCUAUGCUGCGACUACUGACCCAACACAGCUAACAACACAGGUAACCUACAACUGCAACUACUACAACAAGGAGAAAAAAUCAGGUAAAUAAAAGGUGCGGCGCUGGGAUUUGAUCCCCCGACCUCGUGGUUGUGCAGAAGCGGCGUGGUUCUUCUACCUCCAUCCACCGGAGGAGAUGUUGUCGCCGGCGAGCGGAAUGGCGAUGACGGCGGCCAAGAUUGCCGGCGGGGGUACGGAUUCCUUAGAGGUUUCCAUUCCCGGGGGAAGCUAGCUUCUACGACGCAGAGGGGCGACGAUGCUCAAGCUGAACCAAGCUUUGCCUUGGACAUGGCGGUCACGAGAAGGAAACAGGGGCGCAACGGUAGGCGAGGCACGACGGGGCGGCGAUGCAGCAGCGGCGAGCAAGCUGGCUAACGCGUGCGGGUUGCGGGCGUGCGCUGGAACGGGAGCUCCGCGGGUUCACAGCAAAACAACCGCAACUUUCUUUACAGAAGAUCUUCUUCAGAGAAGAUAAUGGGAGCACGGCGAGCACGAUGAUGUCACGGCCGGAUCUACAAUUACGAAUGGCUAGCGACGCGACGGAGAGGGUGAAGGAAGAGGGGGAUCAUACCACGUCACCUAGGGCAACACGGGGGACACAACUUAUAGGUGGCUCGGGCUCUCUCCGGCUGUCAAAUCGACCGGAGGGCUACGUGGCUCCCGUGGAUGGCUGCCGUACAGAGGAGCACGAAGACUCCACUCAGGGGUUGGCUGGGUUGCGCUGCUAGCUGGGCCUGGGGGAAGAGGGAGCCCAGCACACCUCUCUCUCUGGAAAACAACAAAGGGGGUUCAUGUU